AUUGUGUAGCCGAUUUUGGUGGAGAAUAUGAUUCUUAUAUAGUGUUGACACAUCUAGGGUUACACCAUGUAAACCCUAAUGUGUCAUGACUCUUCAUUUCCAUGACCCAUGGGUUUGUAACUCCCAUGGAGCAUCCAAUGGGUAGAACCCAACUUGAUAAUCCAUGGAGCCUCUUAGCCCACUAUACAAGAUAUGGAUGAUUUACAUAAUCAACCCAUAUAUUUAAUUAGUUAUCCUUUGAUCACUUAAUUAAUUCCAAAUUAAUUCUUUGAUCAACUAAUCAAAUAAUAUUAUUAAUAUAUUAGAACUUAUAAUAUAUUAAUAAUCUCCAAGUGUUAUUUCUCUCAUUUAGUCUAUCCAAUUGCAUGGUGCCAUGCAACCCAAAUGGACCAUGCCGGGUCGGGUCAAGUACAAGCCCGAAAUAGUUAUGGACUUAGACACCUUAUCCAACAGUCUCCCACUUGGAUAAGUCUAAUAACUAUAUCUCUAGUACUUCAGGAACCGACCGGCAAUCGUAGCUCUUUCAAGGUCUCUCGGAACUGAGAAGAUGAUGGUACGCCAUUUAAGAUAAGUGAUCAUAUAAUCCUCCGUUCUAGAUAUCAGCCGGACAAAUACAUGGAACAUUGUCUUGCUUAUUGUCCAGCAUUUGUUUCCCGAUUUCCGAUUUGUUUGACAUAGAACUUAAUUGAACACAUCAACUUAGUUCUGACCGGGCCCGGUACAUGGGUCAAAACAAAAUCAUCGAGGGGCCCAGAUAUCAGCUUCUAAUCCAAGAAGGAACAGAUAAACUUCGACUCAUAUGUUUGUUCUACCACUCAUUGAAUUACACACAAAAGUACGUUUUAUAACAUCGAGUUACCAAUGCGGUUUCGUACAGUCAAUGCAUAACCAACUUGUAAGUAACAAAUCAUAUCUCUAGGUUUGAAGACUUAUAUGAUAUUACCGUCUCACGAUCACUCGAGAUAGAAUUCCAUGAAGUGAUUCCAGUGAGCGUGGGUUGAGUCCAAUGCUCAGAACUUAUGAGCACUCAUGAUUGUUGUAGCCUUGUCCAAGACCUCUACAACCAAACAUGACAGUCUUGAUUCAUAUCUACUUCCAACAUAUGACCGACUGUGGAGGUUUGAAUAAUAUGUUAUACCAAACAAAAUUAUUCUGGAAGUCAAAACAUGCAAAAGAAAUAUAGUAAACGAUCGACAAGAGAUAGCAACACUUUACUCAUAAAUAAAACACCUUUUAUUCAUCAUCAAAUGUCAAUUACACUUUACAAAUUUCUGGGUUAUCUAACUACUAAAACUUAUAUCAUCCUUCAGCCCUAUGCUCCGAGCAUGCUGGAGAUGCUUAACCCUACUCAGUCCCUUCGUGAGGGGAUCUGCUGGGUUCUCAUCCGAUGAUACCCUCUUUGCCACGAGGAGUCCUUCUUCGAUCCGAUGUCUAAUGAAAUGGUAUUUUCUGUCGAUGUGUCUGGAUCUCCCAUGAUCCCUUGGUUCCUUGGCUAAGGCAACAGCACUUUCACUAUCACAGAAAAUUUCCAUUGGCUCUUUAAUAGCUGGUACAACUCCAAGGUCUCCAAUGAAGUUCUUCAGCCAUAUCGCCUCCUUUGCUGCUUCACUAGCUGCAAUAUACUCUGAUUCACAAGUAGAAUCUGCCACUGUCUCUUGCUUGGAACUCUUCCAAGAAAUUGCUCCUCCGUUUAGGGUAAAGACCCAGCCCGACUGAGAGCGGAAAUUAUCCCUAUCAGUCUGGAAGCUAGCAUCACUAUACCCUACAACUCUCAAGUCAUCACUCCCACCGAGGGUAAGGACCCAGUCCUUAGUCCUCCGUAGGUACUUGAGGAUAUUCUUUACCGCAGUCCAGUGUGCCUUGCCAGGGUUCGCCUGAUACCUGCUAACCAUGCUCAAGGCAAAAGCUACAUCGGGUCGAGUACACGUCAUAGCAUACAUGAUCGAUCCUACAGCCGAAGCGUAAGGUGUUCGACUCAUUUCUGCUAUCUCAGCCUCAGUGCUAGGGCUUUGUGUCUUACUCAAUCUGGUGUUACUCUGGAUGGGUAACUCUCCUUUCUUGGAAUCCUGCAUGCUGAAUCUCUUCAGCACCUUAUCCAAGUAGGUACUCUGACUAAGUCCAAUUAGUCUUUUACUCCGAUCUCUCAAGAUUCUUAUCCCUAGAAUAUAGGCAGCUUCACCAAGGUCCUUCAUAGCGAAACACUUCCCAAGCCAGGACUUUACUUCCUGCAGGGUUGGAAUGUCGUUUCCUAUGAGUAGUAUGUCAUCCACAUACAAUACCAAAAAGCUAACUAUACUCCCACUAGCCUUGACAUACACACAAGAUUCAUCUUCACUCCUAGAAAAGCCAAAUUCCUUGACCUUUUCAUCAAAGCAAAGAUUCCAUCUGCGAGGUGCUUGCUUCAAUCCAUAAAUGGAUUUCUCAAGCUUACACACUCUAUUAGGGUACUCGUUGCUGACAAAACCCUCUGGCUGACUCAUGUAAACAUCUUCAGCCAACUUUCCAUUAAGGAAAGCGGUUUUGACAUCCAUCUGCCAUAUUUCAUAGUCAUGAAAUGCAGCUAUGGCUAACAGAACCCGAAUAGACUUAAUCUUGGCUACCGGAGAAAAGGUCUCAUCAUAAUCCACUCCAGGAAUUUGAGAGAAGCCCUUUGCAACCAGUCUAGCCUUAUAAGUGUGUACUUUACCAUCCAUGUCGGUCUUCUUCUUGAAGACCCAUUUGCACCCUACUGUCUUACGACCUGGUACAUUUUCAACCAAGUUCCAAACUUGAUUGUCAUACAUGGAUUGUAUCUCGCUAUCCAUAGCCUCUUUCCAUUUAGCAGACUCGGGGCCUGCCAUGGCUUCCUCGUAGCUGUUAGGGUCAUCUUGACUUACUAGUGUCUCAUCACUAAUAAGUGUCUCACCUUCUGCAGUAAUAUGGAAUCCAUAGUAAUGCUCAGGUGCACUCCUAACUCUCGUGGAACGUCUCAGAGGUACAGAUUUGUCAAUUGGCUCAACAGGAGUUUCCUCCUCAAGUUGAGGGCUAGAGUUUGAAGUUCCUUCACCGCUUGAUUCUUGAAUUUCUUCAAGAUCAAUUUGCCUCCCACUGUCUCCUUGGCUUAUAAACUCUCUUUCUCGAAAGACUCCUCUUCUUGCUACAAAGACCACAUUGUCACUAGGUCUGUAGAAGAGGUAACCAAAGGAUCGCUGUGGGUAACCGAUGAAAAUACACCUCUCGCUUCGAGGUUCGAGCUUAUCAUGAGUCUCGCGUCUCACGAAAGCCUCGCAACCCCAAAUCUUGAUGUGGUCUAGUUUAGGUACUUUACCAGUCCACAUCUCGUGAGGAGUUUUGGCAACUUUCUUUGUAGGGACUAGAUUAAGAAUAUGGGCGGCAGUCUCUAAGGCAUACCCCCAGAAUGAGAUUGGUAGCGUAGCUCGACUCAUCAUGGAACGAACCAUAUCUAACAAGGUUCGAUUACGCCUCUCAGCCACACCAUUCAACUGUGGUGUCCUGGGAGGUGUCAAUUGUGAGACUAUCCCACAUUCCCUUAGAUAGUCGAGGAACUCUGAACUAAGAUACUCACCACCACGAUCGGAUCGAAGCAUCUUAAUGUUCCUGCCCAAUUGAUUCUCGACUUCCUGUUUAAAUUCCUUAAACCUCUCGAAAGUCUCUGACUUAUGCUUGAUCAAGUAGACAUAUCCAUAUCUACUAUAAUCAUCAGUAAAAGUCAAAUAAUAACGAUUAGCAUCCCUUGUGGCAUGUUUGAAUGGUCCACACACAUCCGUGUGUAUAAGGUCCAACAAACCUUCACCCCUCUCACACGAACCUGUGAAGGGUGACUUUGUCAUUUUUCCAAGUAAGCAUGAUUCGCAACUAUCAUCUGACUUUAGGUCAAACGACUCCAAGACUCCAUCCUUUUGGAGUUGGCCUAUGCGUUUCUUGCUUAUAUGUCCAAGACGACAAUGCCAUAAAGAUGCUUUAUCCAAGUUAUUAUUAGUAGAAUCAAUACACAAAACAUUAUUUCCCAAGUUAUCUACAACAGAUACAGCUUCAUACACACCAUCACAAGGUAAUGCUUUAAAAUAAAAGACAUUAUUAUAGAAAACAUCUAUAGAACCAACUUCAUUAUUAAAUGAAAAGGUAAACCCUUGUUUGUACAAAGCAUGAAAGGAAAUAAUAUUUCUUGCCAUUCCUGGCGAAUAACAACACUUAUUCAAAUCUAAACUAAACCCACUACUUAGCGAUAAAGUAUAAACUCCAAUCUUGGUAACAGGUAUAGCUUUCCUAUUCCCCAUGAUCAAGUUUAUCCUUCCUUGCUCCACAUCCUCACUUCUUCUUAGUCCCUGCAAGUCACAACAAAUGUGAAUACCACACCCGGUAUCAAGGACCCAAGAAUUAGAAUGGGGUGAGUUAUUAGAAAUGAUAGUGUAAAUACCUGCAUGGUUGGGUUUAACUUUCCCAUCCUUCACAUCUUGCUGGUAUUUUGGGCAGUUCCGCUUCCAAUGAGCUUUUUCAUGGCAAUAGAAGCAUUCAGCCUCUUUUGGGUCAGAAGAAGGAGUAACGAAACCUUUCUUGGUUCCACUUGAAGAAGAGCCAUCAAGGGUCCGAGCCUUGGUACCCUUAGAAGAGCUCUUUCUCUUCCUCCCUCGACUUUUCCCGAUUGCCAAAACCGGAGUAGAGUUUUGAGUAGGAGUGAUAGCAACCGACUUCCCCUUAAGACCUGUUUCUGCGGUCUUGAGAAGUCCCUGAAGUUUGCUGAGGGUGACUUCUUCCUUGUUCAUGUGAUAUGUCAUGCGGAAUUGAUCAUAGCACGAUGGUAAGGAAUGCAAAAUAAUAUCUAUUGCAAGAUCCUCCGGGAAGUUCACAUUAAGCUUCAGCAAACGAUCCACAUACCUUUGCAUUUUCUGCAUGUGGCUCGUGACGGAUUCCCCGUCCUUCAUCAUGGUUGUUAUCAUGGAGCAGAUGAUUUCAUACCUCUCUUGUCUUGCACUUUGAUGGUAUCUUUCCAUCAAAUCUUGGUGCAUGUCAUAAGGGUAGAAAUCCUCAUAAGACUUUUGGAGUUCCGCUGUCAUCGUGGCCAUCAUGAUGCAAGCCACUUUCGUAGCAUCCCUUUCAUGUGCCCGAAAUUCAGCGAUCUCCUGAGGAGUUGCAGUGGACUCAUCAAUCUCCUUAAGCUCCUUGUCAAGGACAUAUUCUUUGUCCUCGUAGCGGGUAAUCAUCCUGAUGUUUCUGAUCCACUCAUUGAAGUUGGAUCCAUCAAAGGUGACUUUCCCACACAAGUUCAUAAGGGUAAAGGAGCCAUUAGGAUUAGAGCCAGAAGCAUUGUUGAAAGACAUCUGAAGGAAAGAGGACAAGAUUAGUUUAGAUAUAAGAGAGUCCUUAAUAAAACACCCAAAUGUAAUAUUAAGGCUAGGAUCCAAUCACAAUAUAAUAUAACUUAGAAGAGGUAUGCCGUAAUCUAAGCUAUAUCAUAUUUGAAAGGUAGGUGAAUGACGAUUCACCAAUUUCCACCACGAAAACCGCAAUAUUUUAGUAUUAGGUUUUUGAAUGGUUCUUAGAAAUUCCUAGAUUCUUUGAGAUUCAAUGAACUUUUCAAAGGCAUGUUUCAAUCUCGAGUGUGCCCUCCAAGUUUUGUGACUGGGAUACCGAGGAUCACAAAACGAGGUGUGAAGUAACCAUGCAAAUCACUUGGUACCCUUAAAGUUUAUCACUCAAUCGAUGUGCCGGUUAACCACACACGCUCCAUCGAUACUAUAAUAAACCCUAAGUCACCCUUUACCUACCUUGUUAAGUCCAAGUUAGUGUGCCGGUUAACCACACACGCUCCACCAACGACUUAAUCAAAGUGUAAAGUGUAAUUUCAUGGAAUAGCACCUUAUUCACAUUUUUCCUAAAGUAACUAAGAUUGGGAAUUUAAUAAAACAUUUAGUUACUUUAUAAUAUUCAUCAUACUUUGAAUGAGAAUUAAUAAGUCCUUGUCUUACCCGUUCGGCUAACGACCCUCCACCGAUCAAGCAAGCGGUGGGUGAGAGUGGACACCCAUUAAGUCACCAUUUUAUAGGCAACAACCUUAUACCCACCUUAUAGACCGGCUUCGUGAAUGAGGCGUACUAGCGGUAAGACGACUUUGUUCUUAUACAUAUAUAUAUAAUUAUUAAAUCAUAAUAAUAUAAGUAUAAGGGUUGAAUUUUAACUUUUAAAAUUCUAGGGGUUGGAACUAAAGUUUUAACUUAACUUUACUUGUUCCAAAACUUGAGGGCAAGUUUUGUAAACUUUCAAAACUUUUCAUUUCUUGUAACUUAUGAGUUUAAUAGAGUAAUAAAAUGAGGACUUUUCAUUUUUCCUAACUCUUGUGUUCUUUUAAUGGUUUUUAAUCCAAGAGACUUUUGGUUUUCCAUAACUUGAGGACAAGUUAUGGACUCCAUUAAAACACAUUAUGAUCAUGAAUUAAUCUACCACAUAGGUUACAAAUAAUUCCUAUGAUCAUCUAAACAUCAUAAGAACAAGAAUAUGAAUAUGAACACUUUCAAGAAUCAAAAUCACAUUUAAUCUUUGUAAUUUUGAUAACUAGUUGUUGUAAAUGAGUUAGAAAAGACAUUACACCUUCUAAAAUAAGUUUUCAAGUACCAAAACAUUUUAGGGUAAUGAUUCUAAUCCAUUUCCAGCAACUCAAGUCGAAAUUCUGCACUCUGUCGACCCUACUCGCCGAGUGCAUAAACCUACUCGCCGAGUAGGUUGAAGAUACACAUGAACUCGACGAGUCCUCCCCAUGGACUCGCCGAGUCCAUCAGUCAGACAGCAAGAUUUUCGACUUUCUUCAACUUUUAAGCACAAAUAACAAACAAACAAGCCUAGGCUCUGAUACCACUGAUGGGUUUUGAGCAUUCUAACACUUCCUAAGUGUACAUGCAACCCUAAUAACCUUGGAUCUAUGAUUGUCUAAUUAUCAUGCAAAGUUGAAUUCCAAGGUUAUAUUCCUAUCUAGCAUACAUGGGGAACAAUUUUAACUUGAAUAAUAGAUAGAAUAACUUACCUUGUUGUUGCUUGUGUUCCUUGAAACCUUGUGAGCCUAGCACCCCAAGUGUGAUGCCUCAAAUGCUUCACACAACACCAAAUGCUCUUGGAAAGACUCUUGAGAUAACACACACUUCUCAAAAUCGGCCAAGCCCUCUAGUUUCUUAUUGUGUAGCCGAUUUUGGUGGAGAAUAUGAUUCUUAUAUAGUGUUGACACAUCUAGGGUUACACCAUGUAAACCCUAAUGUGUCAUGACUCUUCAUUUCCAUGACCCAUGGGUUUGUAACUCCCAUGGAGCAUCCUAUGGGUAGAACCCAACUUGAUAAUCCAUGGAGCCUCUUAGCCCACUAUACAAGAUAUGGAUGAUUUACAUAAUCAACUCAUAUAUUUAAUUAGUUAUCCUUUGAUCACUUAAUUAAUUCUUGAUCAAACUAAUCAAAUAAUAUUAUUAAUAUAUUAGAACUUAUAAUAUAUUAAUAAUCUCCAAGUGUUAUUCCUCUCAUUUAGUCUAUCCAAUUGCAUGGUGCCAUGCAACCCAAAUGGACCAUGCCGGGUCGGGUCAAGUACAAGCCCGAAAUAGUUAUGGACUUAGACACCUUAUCCAACAAAAACACCCUAGGACUUAGGAAACACAUAGAUUGAAGGAUAUGAAUCACAUAUAAUUGCAUACUAAGGGUGUACGACCACUCUAAGGAGUUUACGGCCAAAAUGGCAUGACCAAGGGAGUUCACGGCCACGAGUUUGCGGGCUUAUGUAAUUUCGGCCAAUGAGUUUAAAGUCACUAGAGUUUACAACUGUAAACUCAUGCUAUUUUGUGCAUAUGGGUGUUUUAAUGGGUUUUCAAGCAUUAAGGAAGGGUUCUAGGUUCAUGUCCAAGCCUUAGGAAGAGUUUAAGGUCCAAAUGCACCCUAUUAAGCGUUUACGGCCAAGGGAGAUGCUCUUGGCCGUAAACUCUUGUUGUUCUAGGGUAAAGCUUGUUUUCACGGUGUAAAUCAAUAGUUUUAACUAGAUAGUAAGUAUAUAAGAGGAUACUUACGGUUUUGAAGCUUAGACGAGUAGAUUUCGACCUAAAGAAGUUAUGGGUUCUUGAUGUUAUUGAGGAUCUUGAAGAUCUAGACCCAAAAGAUGGAAUUCAUGGUUGAAUUCAAAGGCGAUUCAAGAAUAAGAGAUGUAUUAACACAUAGAUGGAAUGAAUCACUUACAUUUUUGAGGGUUUUGAAGCAAGAUCCUAUGAUACUUGAGAGAGAUUUUGAGUUUCUAGACUUGCAAAUGGUAAAAGUGAGGAAAAAUGGCCAAGCUUCAUACUUAUAGCCUAGAGUUUACGGCCACCACGAGUUUACGGCCGUAAACUCAUGUGUCCUGGCCGUAAACUCCUCAUUGAGGGGUUUAUGGCUUGUUUGAUGGUUUUGAACUUCAGUUGACACAUACAAACACUUAAUCUUUUGAUGUACUAGGCUUAGAAUGUUCAAACGGACUCUAAACAGUGCUAAAUGUUAGUAGAAACAAGUCUGACCAUGACUGAAUUGAAUGGUUGUACAAGAUACAAAUUUUUGGUUGUCACAUCAUCCUCCAGCUAGAGAGAAUUUCGCCAUGAAAUUAGAGUUUAAGCUAUUAAGUAGUUACAAAUAAAUUAAGCGAAAAGAUGAGUAUAUUUCACUUUCAUUUGAUCCUCACGCUCCCAAGUGAAUUCAGGUCCUCGCUUAGCACUCCAGCGAAGCUUCACUAUCGGGAGACGACUUUGCUUCGUUUGCUUGACCUCUCGGUCCAUGAUCCAUAUAGGUUCUUCCAUGAAGUUGAGGCUCUCGUUGAUCUCGAUCUCGUCGAGUGGGAUCACAAGAGUCUCGUCGGAUAGGCACUUUUUCAAGAUCGAGAGGUGGAACGUAGAAUAUACGUUACUAAGUUCACGAAGUAGUUUGAGUUUGUAAGCUACAAGGCCGAUUAUGGAGAUGAUUUUGAAAGGCCCUAUGUGUCUUGGAUUUAGCAUUACCAAAGUGUAUCAAGCCCUUCCAGGGUGAGACUUUCAAAAGAACGUGGUCUCCCACCUGGAAUUCCAAAGGUUUCCUUCUCUUGUCAGCGUAGCUUUUCUGUUGGUCUCUAGAGGCUUUCAAUCGUUCACGAAUGUGAACAAUCUUCUAUGCCGUUUCCCGAAUGAUCUCCGGACUUGUGAGAGUGUUGCCAGGAACUCGUCCUUUACCUAAUUGUGUCUCACCCACCUCAGCCAAGCACAGAGGGGAUCUGCACUUCUGGCCAUAAAGGGCUUCGAAUGGAGCAACGUUUAUGCUUGUGUGAUAACUAUUGUUGUAGGAAAACUCGGCAAGGGGUAAAUGAGUAUCCCAUGCCUUCCCAAAAUCAAUCACACAGGCUCACAACAUAUCUUCCAGGGAUUGGAUAGUUCUCUCACUUUGUUCGUCGGUCUGUUGAUGGUAGGUUGUACUCAUGUCCAGCCUCGUUCAAAGGGAAGUUUGUAGCGACUGCCAGAACCUUUAAGUGAACCUACUAUCUCUAUUGGAGAUAAUGGAUAUUGGAACGCCAUGCAGCCAUAUAAUCUCCAUAAUGUAUGCUUUUGUAAGUUUCUCAAUCUUGUCAGUCUCCUUGAUGGGAAGGAAGUGUGCGGACUAACGAUACUUGAUUAUGACAAAUUCGCCUGUUGUCGUGUUUUCAGGCGUCGACUUGUUAAAGGUAAGGUGUGGGGUGUCACCCCAUAUGUAUCUAUACAUAAACUAUCGCUCUCCCUCCAGGAGACUGGUUAUUACUAUAGGCUAUGGUUGUGCACUCGAGAGGUGUCAACCGACAUGUCUCACUAGCAUCGUUAAUUGAGUUUACGCGAAUAUUGUAUUAUGUUAUGUGUAAUGCUUUCCGUAUAUGUUUUAUGUUUGAAAAGUCCAACAAGUAUGUGUGUGAAUCUACGAGGCCCAACAGACAUGUAGAAUGACCACUAUGGCCCAAUAAACAUGUAAUGUAUAGUCUAGGGCCAAUAAGCGUCUAAAUGGACCACUAAGAAGGAAUAAACAUGUAAUGUUUAAUCCAGGCACAAUAAGCAUGUAAAUGGGCCACUAAGGCCUGAUAACAUGAAUUGUAAGUAUUAGGCCCAGUAGACAUGCAAUCGAUGAAUUUAGUUCGUUUGUUAUUGCAUUGUUUGUUUUAGCUUGGUUGUUUUCUAAGUUGGCAUAAAAAGCCCACCUUGUGUGAUGGUGACCCGUUCUGGCCCAUUAAGCCACAAAAUUACAACUUAGGCAUAUUUUUGAUGAAAUUGACACCAUAGGUCCUUCAAGGACAAAAAUUUACCUUUAUGGGCUCAUUUCAAAUAAAAUGACAUUUUUAGUCCAUGUUGGUUAAAAAUAACAUUUUCGGUCCAAUAUCAUGAAAAUUGACAUCUUCGGCCCCAUUGUAUAUAAAUUGACAUUUUUGGGCCAAGUAUGUAUAUAAAUUAAUGUUUUCGGCCAAUAAAAAGUUACAUUUUCAGCCCGUUUUAGAGAAAAAUGACAUUUUCGGCCCAAAUUUUGUGAAAAUAACAUUUUAGGCUAAAAUCCAAAUAAAGUGAAAAUUUCAGCCCAUAAAACUUUAAAUUUACAUUUUUGGCUCAGAAUUGUGUUAAAUGACAAUUUAAUCCAUAAAACUCAUAAAUUUACCAAUUUAGCCCAAUGAAACCGUGAAGGCCUAUAUUAAGGGUCGUUACGCGAAACUUAACACUUUUGGCCCUUUUUAAAACUAUGAUUUCAUAAUGACCCAUUUUAUAUAAAUAUGAUUUUUUAGUCCUAGUAAAACCGUAAGUAUCAUAAAAAUUCCAUUCUUUUUUUUUAUUUAUCAAAAAUGGUCCCUUUACAAGAUCUAGUUUAGUCUUUCAACAUCGUUAACAUGUAUAAUACUUUCAUCUUCAAGGUAAGUUAUACAAAGUGGUUUAGUUCACAAAUAUCAUCAUGUUUUUGUUAGAGAUUUCGAGAUUUAUGGGUUUCAUCACAAAAUCACAACACGUAACAUAGAAAACACACAUAAACAUGCACAAAUACAUGGAUCUAGCACAUAAGGAAGUUGUAUCCUCCCCAAAAACGUAGUAAAACCGAAAAAUAAGGGGUAUGAACUCACAUUGCUUUGAUGUUUUCGGUUUUUGGUGAUGAGAUGAGGAGAUCUCGGCCCUGGAUGUGUUCUUGAGAUGAUUUUCGAGCUCUAAGGUGCUCUAAGAGCAUAUAUCAUAAAAUAAUAUGGGUUAAGAAGAGAUUUAAGGUGUAAACUGGAAGUUAAACUUUGGAGUCUAACCAAAAACUUACCAAAAGUGAAGUGCUUUGAUGAAGAGAUCUUGGUGCACCCUUGAAAUUCACAAAAAUUAGAAGGAUGAAAGAGGAGAUUUUCUUAUGCUAGAGAGGAAAAAGUGAGAGAGUUCUUGAGUUUGAAGAUGAAAAGUGAGGGUGGUGAUGAAUGCCCUAUGGCCGACAGUUAAAAUGAAGAGAGAAGAGAGAGGGAAAAUGUUGAGGUGAUGUUGCAUGGGUGUAUGAGUUGUCGUUGUUAUUGGUUUGAACUUAAAUCAAGAGUUUGGAUUCAAAACCAAAUAAAAUACAUCUCAUAUGCAUUGAACUGAAAUCAAGAGUUUGGAUUCAAAUGGAUGGUUUAGAUUAAAAACAAAGUAUGAUUUUCACUUAGAGUACAUUCUUUACUGUUGGAUUAGUGUCUAAGCCCGUAACUAUAUUUGGUAACUACUUGACCCGAUUGUGCAUGGUCCUUUUGGGUUGCCUUUACCAAAGCAACAUGAUAGGAUGAUUUAUAAAUAAAGAGGUUUUUAUGAUUUCUUAAUAUAUUAUAUGAUUAAUAUAUUAAAAGGAGAAAUCAUAUAGUUUAAUUAAUAUUAGACAAUAAUUAUUUAAGAAUUAAUUUUGUGGCUAAAAUAGAUUAAUUAAAUAAAGUGGGGUUGUAACUGUCAAUUGUGUGAUAGUUGGUUUUGGGUUGUGGAUCCUUAUGGAUUAUAGGGUGGACGAAAUUAAGGUAUAUGGACACCUUGAAUUCGUCCAAGCCUUAUUCUAGAAGGAUCCUUGGACUGUUUAAGGACUAAGUUAUCCAAUUAGGGUUUCAGGCAGUAACCCUAGCAACUCAACUAUUUGAAGACCCUAACAGCUACAGAAAUCGGCUACCAGAAACCCUAAGGAGUUCCUAGAGUCGAUUUUCUGCCCACAACCUCUGUCCAAAUCAUUCUCUUGCUUCUUGGUAUUUGUAAGCCAUUAGAGGAGUGACAUUUGUGACUAUAUGCUCCAAGGAUAACAAGAUUCAAGCUUUCAAGAAGACGUAAUCAUCUAGAUCUACUUUGUUAUGUCAAUUUCGAAUUGUAUACCAUAGAUAUAGGGUUUGCAAGUCUUGGAUGAAAAGCAUGUUCAUUAGAGAAACCUAGAUCCAAGCAUUAGGAUUUGCAUGUAUACAUAGGAAUGUUCUUAUGGCUCAAACUCAUCAGUGGUAUUAGAGGAUUGAUUGGCUUCUAUUGAAUUCGAUGCUUUCUGUUUUGAUUCUUGCUUAAAAAUUGUUUUUCUUGCUCUCUACCUGAUAAACUCGGCGAGUCCCAUUGUGGACUCGACGAGUAGGAUGAAGUUGACGAGUCCAUAAGGGGACUUGGCGAGUCUGAGCGUUAGACAGAGGAAAUUUUGGGAUUUCUUGUUGUUUUGCUUAAGGAUAAUUACCUAAAUUGUUUUAGUUUACUAAAAUCCAAAUUUUAUUAACUUUUUAUCAAUAUCCUCAUCAAAACAAAAUAUAAUUACCAAUUGUUUAAAUAAUAAUUUCCUUAUUUGAUAAUAAUUAAAUAUUUAAAUUAAUUGUUGAAUUAUCUUACAAGUAAUAUUGACUAGGUCAAAUUUAGAUAAUUAAUAAAUUAAAUGCUUAAUUGAAAAUUAUUUGCUAUUUGAUCUUUGUGUUUUGAAAAAAGUUCAAAACUUGUCGUCAAGUUUUCUAAUUUAAAUGUUAUGAUGAAAAUGUUUAAUUUGAACUAUUUAAAUUUCUAACCUUUUAAUUNNNNNNNNNNNNNNNNNNNNNNNNNNNNNNNNUUAAAAUUUCGGGACGAAAUUCCCUCUAACGGGGGGAUGAUGUAACAACCCGAUAUUUCAACUCUUUGUAAUGACCUAAAAAGUCAAGUAUUGUAACCACCUUGGAGUUAAUAAAAUUAACUUUGAUAAUAAAAUGCCCAAAAAGUAUCUAUUUAAAUUCCUACUAUGUUUAAUAUCAUUAAACCGGGAUCGUACGUAAAAAGGAUGCCCAAAUCCGGCUUCGUAUAUUGAAGUUAAGAUUUUUCCAAGUUCGGCUUAGCAGCAGACAGCUAAAAACUCGAAUCGGAGAUCGAGCGACUUUUGGCCGGAAUGACCUAAACGAGAAUCGAAGGUCUCGACAAUGGUAUUUCAGCGGUAAAAAGUCUGGCAAAAACCGACGUCAGAUAAAGAAGUUAUGAAUUUUUAAAGAAAUUCCUUAAUCACAUCAUUUUAAUAAAUAAAUAAUAAAAAUAAUUUCAUAAAUUGCCAACGGAGUCUAAACGAAAGUUGUAGAGCAUAGUCUCACCUAUGCGUGGAUAUAAAGACCAUCGAAAACGGAGUUCGUAUGAAGAAGAUAUGAUUUUUUUGAAGUUUAUUAAAUAAAUUUAAAUCAAAAUUCUAGUAAUAUCCGAAGGAGGAGUCAGCGUCCUCAUCCGGGUUACGCGCUGCGUAGCCUCGUACGCCCCGCGUACGCGAGGGCCUUGGUCUCGGUCCGUCCAUGUCGCCCCUAUGCGAGCCUAUGCGAAUCCGUCCCAUCCGAGCUCCGGGGCAGUCGAGGACUCGCUCAUGCAUGACGCACGGGUACGCGCUGCGUACGCCCGUACGCCCCGCGUACCGAGGCCUCUCAGCCCCUAUAAAAGGGAUGUGAGGGUUUCCAGAAAAUUUGCUCAUUUCCUCUCAUUUCUCUUGCGUUUUGCCUCGUUUUCCAUGCCCGCACUACCCUGAAGCCCUGGUCAUUUUGCUCAGGUCCCGAAGGUCGAUUUUUCUCCCGAGAUUCCCGAGAAUCCCGAGAAAAAUCUGUUUCCCGAGACGAAACUCUGCCCGAUUUUCCAUCUCGCUAUCUUCAAACUUUCAAGCGAGGUCAUACCCCCUUCAACACACUUUAAAUACAUUUUAAAUGCUUUUAUACUCUUUUAGGGUUUUGGAAUAUAAGUAAACAUACGGUUAUUAUUGUGUAAUUCAUAAAAUUUCACAUACUCGUUUUUAUCAAAUGAAUCACUUAUGAUUUAGUACUACUAUGUGAAAGCACUUGUCAUACUUUGCAUGCACUAGAUUUAUACAAAGUAUUUAGUAAUUCCAAAGUAUCCUUCGUUGCUAAACCGUUUUAUACAUUCUAAAAACUUCUGAUUUAUGUUUUGUCAAACAUUGUGAAAAAGGAUAAACUUUGCAUACAAAACUAUUACUUUAAUACAGAAUUAGUUGAGAAUCCAUGAGACAUGUACAUCUUCAAAUACUGCCUUUUUAUUAGAAGGUAUCCCUACAAGUCUUGUCUAUAACCAGAGUCUCCCGUUCGGAGAACGUGUCAAAUGUGUAUAGAUCUAUACGGGAAGUCAUAAUCCCGCGCCCUGACUGUUAGCUACAGUCCUUCCUUUGGGGUGACAGUUUGUCAUAACGCUACGACGCCUGAAGAACGUUGCUACAGGCAUAUUAUGUUUAGUAUGGUUAUAAAACUCAUCGGAUACACAACUAUUAUAGUACUUCUGAUUGAUGAAUGAGUAGCUACUAAAGCUAUUCCUUAUCUAACAAACUGAAAUCUUCUGAUAGAUUUAUUAUAUAAAUCUAUGUUUAAAAUCUUCUAAAGCAUGUGGAUUGCUUCCAAUUUUUAGUCUUGGACAUUAAACAAACUACCAUUAUAGGAAAAUAUGGGAUUUUCUCGUAUACAAACCAAACAACUAUUAGGAAAAUAAGGGAUUUUCUUGGUUCAACUACCUACAUUUUUCAACACAAAUACUCUCAUGCACUACAUACUUUUAUAAGAAAAUAAGGGAUUUUCUUGGAAAAUAUACACUCAUUUUGGAAUGGCAUUCAAUGUUUCUAAAUCACUUAUGAACUCACCAACUUAAUUGUUGACACUUUUGCUUUGAAAUAACUUGUAUUCUCAGGGAACCGUUAAGCAGGUUUGGAAAUCAACUUUUGGGGAUUAACGCGCUGGCGUUAAUUACUUCUUUUGAAAGAUGUUUAUGCAUUUAUCUUUUGAGCAUGUAAUGAAUACAAUGAUGUAAACAUUUUUAUAACCUUUAUAUAUGUAUGGUGGUGUGUACUUUCCUUUCUAUGAACUGUUAUGAUACUGAAUAUGACGUCCUCCGCCCCCGAACGUUUCCGCCGUUCUGGUUUGUGGGUGUAACAGACAAAACAUUUCAUUUCAUACAAACAUUUUCAUUUAAUACUUAUGAAACUCACCAGCUUAAAUGCUGAUCUACUCUUUAUAAAUUACUUGUAUGUCCCAGGGAUUCAGUAAUUUCAGGUACUAAAAUGCUUUUGAAGAAGAGAUGCUGUGGCGCCAGUUUAAUCUCAUAUUUUGACAUCAUAUUGUAAAUGGUUUUGAACAUGUAACUUUUGACAAAUGUAAACUUUCAAUUAUAUAUAUGAUGGUGGUAUUGCUUUCUUUACUAUGUAUUCAAUUGGUAUCAGAGCAAUGUUUAUAGUGAACUAAGUAUAUCGAACCACAUAAGAUAUACAAACUAUAAAUGCUUAAGGGACUAAUACCCUCUGACAAAACAUUUUUCUUUUGUUUUACGCUUGAGCAGCAUUACGUUUAACUUAAAUUGUUAGUUCAUUUAAGUACAAAUACAUGCAUACAACAAAUUAUUUUCAUGAUUUUAACUAUACGACAAGUAUUUAGACAAGUUGACACUACGAUUAAAACUCGAUAUAUAUAUAUAAUCAGAUUUGGGACAAAUAUAGCGUGAUCAACUAUAUUUGUCCGAGAUCGGACCAAUAUAUAUCGAGGAUUGCUCGUAGUAAGCAACAAGUCAAAACUUACGAAACCGUCACAAGAAUCAAACACAAGAAUUUAAAUACUAUAAGAGAAUUUGCUACAUAAACUAGUUUAACUUACAUGUUUUGCAUGUUUUAACUUUAUUCAAUUCUUAUAACCCUACUUCUCGUACAGUCAAAUGGCUGGAUUUCACCACCCUGGCGACCCCGACUUUCCCAACCAAGGCAAUGGAGGAUGGUUCGAAGAUGAUCCCGAAGAGGAUGAGGAACCCAUAGAAGUGGAUGAUGACUCCGGUACCGACUCAGAGCCGAAAGUGAUCAACCCACCACCGGUACAACCUCCCGUCUUCGUAAGGAACUUUCAAGGACCGACUCCCGUCUGGGGAAGUCACCUCCACCAUUGGAGCCAACAACAAAACCUACGCCCUCCCUACAGCAUGUGUCGGGACUUCUACGAUGUCCGAGGUGGAGGUUCGACUGAUCGGGCACUCCCAGUAAUGGUGGGUAAGCUAGCCAAUCAGUCUUAUCAAUCCGGAGUUCAAGCUAGCCGGCUUUAGGAUGUCAACGUGCAAGUACAGGUUCACUCUUCCGACAUCCGUAGGAUGGACAGAAUGCAAGACAAUGCUCAACUCCAAACCGAGGCAUUCCAAGCGCAAAUGAUUGCAGUCGUCGCCGAAUUAAGGGAACAACAAGCCGCUUUUGAUCGGCGUCUAAUGGAGUCAAAGCAAUCGGAUGCGGAGUCAAGCUCCAAGCGCAACCUACGUCGCAAGUAGUGCUUGCAAGAAUCUCAAAUUUUGUUAUAAGUUAGGACCUCGGCUAAAAGUCUUUAAAUUUCUCAAACUUUGUAACCGGAGACCCUUAUAGGGGUCAAUUUUUCAUGAUCGUUGUAUCAACUAUUAUAUUAAUAUAAGUGGCACUAUUAUUACUACGUUGAGUAUUUCAUUAAAUCCUUGGAAAGUCAUUGAGAAAACCAAAUGAUUGAUUCAUGUUUUCAGUGUUACAAAUAACUUUCAUUCUACUAUUUUAAGACUCAUACUAUCAUUUGUUGUCGAGCUAUAGCAAUUUGGUUCAUAAGACACAUUUAGUUUCUAUAACUAAGUGAUUCUUAUGAUUAUCUUUUCAACCUAUAGUUGAAGGAUGCCUCCGCGUAGGAAUCCAAGGUGAAACAACGGUGGGGAGGCACCUAUACCACCACCACCUCCACCACCCUCAAUUUGAUGUUGUCAUGUUCCAAGCAGCAAUCACCGCAGCGGUAGCAGCUGCCAUGUCACAGAUCAAUAACUCGAGUACUACUGGCUCGGGAACUGGCACACACCUAUCCAAUCAUGGUGAGAGUCAUGUGCAACCCCGAGAACGCACCUAUAAGGACAUUACUAAUGCCAAACCCCGGAUGUUUUAUGGAACUGGUGGUGUGAUAGCUCUGAGGCAGUGGAUUGAAAGGACAUAAUCAGUCUUUGAAAUCUGCUCCUGUCCCGAGCAUAGCUAAGUCAAAUUUACAACUUUCACCCUUAUUGAUAGAGCUUUAACUUGGUGGAAUGGCCACGUUAAGGUACUUACCCUUAUAGUGGCAAACUCCAUAAGCUGGGAGACCUUAAAGUUCAUGCUGAUGAGAGAAUAUUGUCCAUGAGGAGAGAUUCAAAAACUUGAGCAUGAACUCUGGACUCUUGGAAUGCUUGGUAACGACAUCGCGACUUAUACCAACAGGUUCUGCGAUCUGGCAAUCCUUUGCCCAGAUAUGACUGCUCCUGAGAGAAAGAAAAUAGAGAGAUACAUUUGAAGACUGUCACCCCAAAUUAGGUGCAGCGUGUUAGCUUCAAAACCUGACACCUUUGAAAGUGCCAAGGAAUUGGAACAAUCUCUUGUUGAUUAUGGAGGUCAUCAGAACUCAACGGUUGCUACACCAGAACCGCAAAAGUGAAACAACAACAACAACAACGACAAUAACAAAAUGAGGGUCUGGAAUAAAGGGAAGGGUGGUUCUUCCCAAGAAUCCACGAAGAAACAACUGGUCUCAGUGAAUGCUGCCACUGUACCUACUACAGUCCCUACAAAUCCCUACCCAACAAAGACUUAUGGGGGUAAUCUUCCAAAGUGCACCAAAUGCACUUACCACCAUCAUGGACCUUGUCGGGAAAUGUAGUGCUCCAACUGCAACAGAAAGGGACACACUGUCUGUUUCUGCAAGGAUCCCGCAAAGCCGAUCACUCAAGUUCCCAACGCGGGUGUAGGCUAGACUUGCUACGGUUGUGGCGAGGUGGGCCACUACAAGAGGAACUGCCCAAAGGCAGCAAAUAUCUGCGGGAUGGGACGAGUUUAGCUAUAGGCCACGAUGAAGCCGUAGCUGAUCCGACUGUAGUUGUUGGUACGUUCCUUCUAGAUAAUUCAUAUGCAUGCAUAUUAUUCGAUAGUGGAGCGGUGAGAAGCUUCGUGAGUCAAAACUUUAUUCCCUUACUUAAACCUAAACCUAGCAAGUUAGAAAAAUCAUUUACGGUAGAGAUGGCCAAUGGAAAAACCAAAAGCACUAACUGCAUAUACAUGGACUGUACGUUAACUUUAGACGGUCAUUUUUUGCCAAUCAAUCUCAUGCCGGUCCAAAUCAAAAGUUUCGACGUCACAGACGGCAUGAAUUGGUUGAUACUUCUUCGCGCCGACAUCAUGUGCUUUGAGAAAGCAGUUCGUCUUAAUCUCCCUAACAAUGAAACAUUAGUUAUCUACGGCGACAAAUCAAGUACAAACCUUCAUAUCAUUUCGUGCAUCCAAGCUCGAAAGUGUUUAUGGAAGGAUUGUCGAGCAUUCCUAGCGCACAUCGUCGAUACAAGUCAGGAACUGAAUGACAUCAAGAACAUUCCAGAAGUAAUGUGACUUUCCCGAUAUCUUUCCAGAAGAACUACCUGGAUUNCCACCGCAACACCAAGUCGAGUUCAGAAUCGACUUAGUUCCAAGGGCUACCCCAGUAGCGAGGUCGCCUUAUCGUCUCGCACCAGCAGAGAUGCAGGAACUUUCCAGUCAAAUUAAUGAACUCCUUCAAAAAGGAUUCAUAUGACCAAGUUUCUCACCUUGGGGAGCACCGGUCUUGUUCGUAAAGAAGAAAGACGGAUCGUUCCGUAUGUGCAUUGACUAUAGAGAACUGAAGAAGCUUACUGUAAAAAAUUGCUAUCCUGUACCUCGUAUUGACGACCUAUUUGACCAACUACAGGGAGCAAACUACUUCUCAAAGAUAUAUCUACGAUCUGGAUAUCACCAAUUACGAGUACUAGAAGGGGAUAUUCCCAAGACAGCUUUCCGAACUCGUUAUGGACACUACGGAUUUGUAGUGAUGCCGUUCGGAUUAACCAAUGCACCAGUAGUAUUUAUGGACCUAAUGAAUAGGGUAUGUCGUCCUUACAUGGAUCAGUUCGUCAUCGUCUUAUCGAUGAUAUACUUAUCUACUCCCGAAGUAAGGAAGAGCAUAGUCAGCACCUACGAAAAGUCCUAGAAACGCUGCGAUCGGAGAAACUCUAUGUGAAGUUCUCUAAAUGCGAAUUUUGGAUUCGAAGAGUCGAAUUUUUGGGCCACGUUGUUAGCGAGAAAGGGAUACACGUGGACUCCUCCAAAAUUAAGGCCAUUGAGAACUGGUCGGCACCAACGACACCUACAGAAAUUCGUCAAUUUCUAGGUCUCGCCGGCUACUAUCGCAGAUUCAUAAAGAACUUCUCUAGCAUUGCGAAACCUCUUACUACAUCAACCCAGAAAGGCAUGUCCUUUGACUGGGAAGCGAAACAAGAAAAGGCGUUCCAAACGUUGAAACAGGCCUUGUGCACCACACCGAUACUAUCCCUCCCCGAAGGGAUAGAAGAUUUCGUAGUGUAUUGCGAUGCCUCAAACCAAGGACUUGGUUGUCUUCUUAUGCAGAGAGGGACGGUUAUCGCUUAUGCCUCCCGACAGCUUAAGACGCACGAAGUGAGCUAUACGACCCACGACCUUGAGUUAGGAGCAGUAGUAUUUGCUCUAAAGAUCUGGAGACACUACUUAUACGGAACAAAGAGUAUUAUUUUCACCGAUCACAAGAGCCUUCAACACAUUUUUAACCAGAAGGAACUCAACAUGCGACAACGACGAUGGGUUGAGUUACUCAAUGACUACGAAUGUGAAAUUCAUUAUCAUCCUGGCAAGGCCAACGUGGUGGCUGACGCCCUCAGUCGAAAGGAAUACACUGGUUGGAGGGUCAAAUCUAUGACUAUGACUAUCUAUUCCCACUUAUCCACACAAAUUAAGGAGGCACAAAUAGAAGCUUUGCAACCUGAAAAUGUGGCGGGUGAAUCCCUGCGAGGAAUGGAAAAGAAUCUAGAAGUCAAGGGUGGCGGAGCAUAUUAUCUCAUGGACCAAAUAUGGACACCAAAACAUGGUGGUUUAAGAGACGUAGUCAUGACCGAAGCACACAACACAAGGUACUCCGUUCACCCAGGUUCAGAUAAAAUGUAUGUGGAUCUUAAGAAACUGUACUGGUGGCCUAACAUGAAAGCAGAAAUUGCUACCUUUGUAAGUAAAUGCCUUACUUGUGCAAAGCUUAACGUUAAGUAUCAAAAACCAUUAGGAUUACUACAACAACUGAGAUACCAUAAUGGAAAUGGGAAUGGAUUACCAUGGACUUAAUAACCAAGUUGCCCAAGACGACGGGUGGACUUGAUACCAUAUGGGUCAUCGCCGACAGAUUGACCAAAUCCGCGCAUUUCCUACCCAUCAAGGAGACAGACAAAAUGGAAAAGCUUACAAGAACUUACAUAAGGGAAGUAGUGCGACUGCACAGUGUUCCGAUAUCCAUUAUCUCCGAUAGAGAUAGUAGGUUCACUUCAAGAUUCUGGCAGUCACUACAAAGUUCCCUGGGGACUAGGCUACCCAUGAGUACAGCUACCACCCACAAACAGACGGGCAAAGUGAGAGAAUGAUACAAACCUUGGAAGAUAUGUUGAGAGCCUGUGUGAUUGACUUUGGAAAGGCAUGGGAUAUCCAUUUACCCCUUGUUGAAUUUUCAUAGAACAAUAGUUAUCAUACAAGCAUAAAGGCUGCUCUGUUUGAAGCCCUCUAUGGUCGAAAUUGCAGAUCCCCUCUCUGCUGGACUGAAGUUGGCGAUACCCAGUUAGCUAGAGGACGAGUUCCUGAAAGCACUCUCACCAGUCCAGAAAUCAUACGAGAAACAACAGAGAAGAUCGUUCAAAUUCGUGAACGGUUGAAAGCUUCCAGAGACCGACAGAAAAGCUAUGCUGACCACAGGAGGAAACCUUUGGAAUUCCAGGUAGGAGUCCACGUUUUAUUAAAGGUCCCACCGUGGAAGGGUUUAAUACGCUUUGGGAAGCAUGGGAAACUAAAUCCAAGAUACAUAGGGCCUUUCGAGAUUCUUCCUAGAAUCGGCCCUAUGGCUUACAAACUUAACCUACUUCGUGAACUUAGUAACAUACAUCCAACCUUCCAUGUCUCGAACUUGAAAAAGUUUAUGUCCGAUGAGACUCUUGUGAUUCCACUCGACGAGAUCGAGGUCAACGAGAGCCUCAACUUGGUGGAAGAACCGGUAGAAAUCAUGGACCGAGAGGUUAAGCAAACAAAACAAAGUCGCAUACCCAUCGUGAAGGUUCACUAGAACGCCAAGCGCGGACCUGAAUUCACAUGGGAACGCGAAGAUCAGAUGAAACAAAAGUACCCUCAUCUCUUUCUAUGAACCAGUAGUAUCUUUACUACUUUAAAUUUUGGGAUGAAAUUCCCUCUAACAGGGGGAUGAUGUGACAACCCGAUAUAUCAACUCUUUGUGAUGACCUAAAAAGUCAAGUAUUGUAACCACUUGUGAGUUAAUGAAAUUAACUUUGAUAAUAAUAUGUCCAAAGAGUUUCUAUUUAAAUUCCUACUAUGUUUAAUAUCAUUAAACCAUGAUCGUACGUAAAAAGAAAGCCCAAAUCCGACUUCGUAUAUGGAAGUUAUGAUUUUUCCAAGUUCGGCAUAGCAGCAGACAGCUAAAAACUCGAAUCGGAGAUCGAGCGACUUUUGGCCGGAAUUACCUAAACGAGAAUCGAAGGUCUCAAUAAUGGUAAUUCAACGGUAAAAAGUCUGGCAAAAACCAACGUCAACUAAAGAAGUUAUGAAUUUAUAAAGAAAUUCUUUAAACACGACCCUUUUAAAAAUAAACAAUAAAAAUAAUUUCAAAAUUUGCCGACGGAGUCUAAACGAAAGUUGUAGAGCGUAGUCUCACCUACGUGUGGAUAUAAAGACCAUCGAAAACGGAAUUCGUAUGAAGAAGAUAUGAAUUUUUGAAGUUUAUUAAUUAAAUUAAAUAUAAAUUUAAUUAUAAACUCUUGGUAAUAUCCGAAGAGGAGUCAGCAUAUAGGACCGAAGUACGCCCUGCGUACCUUCGUACGCCCCGCGUACUCAAGGCCAAGGCCUCGGAUCGUCCACGUCCCGGUCUAUGCGAAGUAGCCUUGUCCCAUCCGAAGUCCAAGGCAGUCGAGGACUCGGUUAUGCAUGACGUACGCGUACGCCCCACGUACCCUCGUACGCCCUGCGUACCGAGGCGGUUCUAGCCCCUGUAAAAGGGAUGCGAGGGUUCCGAAGAAGGGGCUCCAUUUCUCUCAUUUCCUUUGCGUUCUUGCCUCGUUUUUCGUGCCCGUGCUAACCCAAAGCGCUGCUCAUUUUGCUCAAGUCCCGGCGGUCGUUUUUACUCCCGAGAUUCCCGAGAAUCCCGAGAAAAAUCCGUUUCCCGAGACGAAACUCUGCCCGGUUUCCACCUCGCUUUCUUCAAACUUUCAAGUGAGUUCAUACCCCUUAAUUAACCUUUUAAAUGCUCUAUAAAUGCUUUCUAUGCUUUCAAGGGGGGGAAUACAAGUAAAACACGCGAGUAACAUCGUGUGUUAUAUAAAGAAUUUUUAUAUGCUUUUAUAUAACCAAAUCAUAUGUGAUUUAUAAACUUUAUAGGAAACUUUCGUAUAUAAAAUAUGUUACAAUAGCAUUCUAUCUUUUGAAAUAUAAAUUGUUGUAAUGCAUGUAUAAACUAAACAUUUUCUUAGAUUAUAUGUAUACUUGUCUAUCUUAGGCUCUACAAAAAUCUAUACUUUCAUAACAAGUGAUUCCUUUUCUAGGUAUUUCUAAACAAACGAGACAGACUUUUAGAAAACUAUAAUAGGUAUAGUUUUACGAGGAUAUUGCUAACGUUUACAUACUAGAAACGCGAUUUUCAAGAAAUCACUUUUAUAUACAAGAACAAACGAACAUUUUUAACAUGUAAAUAUGUUUUUAUACCACGGUUUGUGAGACAUUAACUUCACGUACGUUCGAGUACACAUUUCAAGUAAUGUAUUAUAUACCAGAAUCCAUUGGAGGGGGGAGCAUGGUGUUUUUGUAUAGAUCUAUACGGGCUUGACAACCCGCGCCUUGACUGUUAGCUACAGUCCAUCAUUUGGGGUGACAAACGUCAUAACAUUCCAACGCCUGAAGAACGUUGUGUAUAGGCAUUCCGAGUCAAUAGUAUGGUUAUAAAACUCACAUGGGGUAUUAAAAAUGCAUUGAUUUACGAGAUUUUCAAACAUAUUGGUUAUUUUUCACUUACAUACAUUUUUAGAAACAAACAUUGGUCUUGAGAGAAGGCUAGUUUUAUACUACUAGAAAAUAUAGGAUUUUCUAGAAACAAACAAACAAGGACAAAACAUUUCAUUUCAUACAAACAUUGUCAUUUAAUACUUAUGAAACUCAGCAGCUUAAAUGCUGAUCUACUCUUUCAAAAUUACUUAUAUGUCCCAGGGAUUCGGUAAUUUCAGGUACUAAUAUGCUUUUGAAGAAGAGAUGUUGCGGUGCCAGUUUAAUCUCAUAUUUUGACAUCAUAUUGUAAUUGGUUUUGAACAUGUAACUUUUUACAAAUGUAAACUUUCAAUUAUAUAUAUGAUGGUGGUAUUUCUUUCUUUACUAUGUAUUCAAUUGUUACGUUACCACAUGAGGUCAUCCACCCCCGAACGUUUCCGCCGUUCAGGUUUCGGGGUGUUAAACAUUCUUGGCCCAAGCCCAAAAGAAAGGAAGGGUUGACUUUUUGUAUGCCACACCAUUUUUGUUUGUGGGAUAACUAAGCAUUACAAUUCAAACAUCCAUGCACUUCUCAUAUUUCCAUGCAAUUUCACUCUCUCCUCUCCUCUCUCUUUUGCUCUUGGCCGAAGACACAAAGAAACACACACACCUCACAAAAAUUCUCUCUAAAUCACUUAAGACACGUCUCUUCUUCUUCAUCUAGAAAUCUCGAAUUUUGCUUGUGAUUCAAGAGGUUUUCAUCAAGUAGUUCACAUCUUUCGUAAGUUAUCUCUUUGAUUCAUAACAUAUCUUUUUCAUUUUACCAAGAAUCUUCCUUAUGUCAUACAAAACUUGUGAUCUUGCACCUUAGAAACAUCUAAGUUCGAGAUCCUCCAAGAAAGGUUGCUAGGAUCGAAUUCUUCUUCAUCUUUUCCUUCAAAAACAGAAACCACACACAAGGUGAGCUUCAUACCGCUUUCUUUUUGGUUUUUAUGAGUUUUAUGGGGGAGAAUACAAGAAAAUGUGUAGAUCUAUGUGUAUAUGUAUGCUAUGUGUGAUUUGAUGCAUGUAUGUGUGUGAUUUCGUGUGUUUUGUGAUGAAUAUGUUACCAAAAAGGUUGUAAACGUGAGAUCUAUGACAUGAGAAAGGAAACAAACAUAAACUAAGCUAUCAUACACUAAACAAAUCAAGAAUAAUAGCUUAUAAGGUCAUGAUGAUCAUAUUCUAACAUAAAACCCAUGUUUGGGCUGAAUUUAACAAAAAUACAAAAUUUGGGGUACAAAUCAACAAGUCGCGGUUUCUUGAAGGUUAAAAGCGUCAAAACAGUUUCUAUAAGUAUUGUCCUGAACAUUAGAAAUUUCAAAGGACCUAAAAUGUAAAUUUUUAGCAGAAUGGGCUAAUUUUGGGCUUUUCGGCCCAAUAAGCCCCAAAAUGCGAAAAUUAUAAAUUUUUGGGGCUGAAGUGAAAUUUUCUGUAAAACAGGGGGUAAUUAGCAUGACAACAUCAUUUUAUGGCUCAAAAAUGUUUUUCAAUAUCAAAAGGGACCAAAAAUUUAAACUUUUUGGAUUUUGGGUCAAAACUAUAAAAGUUGUGCAAAAUGAGUUCCUAACCGUGAAACACUAUUUUGGAGGAGCAGAAGCUGUCAACAAAAAUAAGUUUUGGGUUAAAAUCGUGUUUUCAUCAAAUAAAUUGUACAAAAGUGUCAAGAAAAGGGUUUUAAGGACUAAAAAUGAAAUUGUUUUAUAUGAGAGGACCAUAAGCGUUAUUUUAUGAAAGAAAGGUGGUGAAAAGGUCAAAUUCUGUUUUCAAACAAAUAAAAUUCAUUAAUACAAAAUACAAUAUCCACAGCUACCGACGAAACGGAAAACAAUUACACUCCCAAUAAAAAAUAUCGUUACAAAACGAAUUGAUUCGGUCUCGAAUCAAUAACAAAACAAAAUCAUCAGACCAAAGCCAUUCGUUAAACACACAAUAACUAUGAUGAGCUAACUUACAAAAUUUGCGCUUGAAAGUUUCAAAUCAUUCUUGUUGGGCCUGGCUAACCCAUUAACAUGAUUUUUGGGCCCAAAGGGAAUAUGCUUAUGUGUUAUUGGGCCUCCUAUGACCCGAUUUGAUGUAAAAGGACUUUCGCUUGCUCUAAUGUGCUAUCGGGCCCUAUUGGCCCUUUAGUACUGCUAGUAAGGUCGAGAAGUCAAAUGCGACUUGGGCCAACGUGUCUUUCGCAUUACCGAUAGCCUUAAAUAACUCACAGAAAUAACGGGACUUCGUACCCCCUUUCUCCUCGGUUGUUGGGCUUAUGAGAAAUCAAAGUGAACAGAUUCAGGGUGUUAAACAAGAGUAAUCAUGGUGGGUGGAUUAAGUGAGUAGUAACGGUCGACGCCUUUAAGGAUCAUUCGUAGUCUGUAGUUAUAAACUAGUCAUUUUUUUAUGCGUGAUUAUAACAACUCACAAACCCUAAUUAAUCCAAUGCCACCCCGGGUAAUCAAAAAUCAUUCGACGUAACGGUGUAACAAUAGAGAAAUCAUUGUAUUUUAUGUAUUGGGAAAACAUCGGGUUUUCCUGGGAAGUUCAACAUUUUCACUUGUGUGAUCUAUACAAAAGUUCAACAAUUAAACAUGUUUUGAAAAAUCAACAAGCAUAUAUUUACGGAUAUUCACACCCAUUUUUUUUCACAAUAAUCUUUUCAGAAAAUAUCGGAUUUUCUGGGUUUUAGAAACUACUCUAAAUCAUUUUAUCAUAACAUUGCUUAUGAACUCACCAACACUUCAUAUGUUGACGUUUUUCAAAAAUGACUUGUAUUCUCAGGUUGCAGGUAAACCGAAGAAUAAGUACCAAGUAAUGUUAGGGUGUUUGCUUAUGAUAUCUAUCAGACAAUUUUUUGUUUUGAAGUUGUAAUGACUAAAAGUAUGUCUUGGAUGUAAACAAUAUAGGUUGUAUUACUUUAAUGCAUGGUGAUGAUUUAUGUUAUGCUUCAUGUAUAUUCAUUAUGAUGGUAAUCAGUUUAAGUCACAACAGCCCUCGGACGUUUCCGCCGUCUGGUUCGGGGGUGUGACAGGUUGGUAUCAGAGCACUAUUUAUAGUGAACUAGCAUGUCUAACCACACAUUGAUAUGCAACUAUAAACCAAAAGAGGGACUAACACAACUCUGAACAAAAUAAGUAAAACAGAACAAUCAAACCUCUUUGCUUGUGUGAAUUAAGAAACAGAACAUAAUAUCUAACCAAACAAGAUAAUGCUAGCAUCUCGGUUAAGUCAGGAUUGUUCAUAGUCGUAUCAAGGAGUGGAUGUAGCUUGAUCAACUACAUUUCCUCCGAGGUACAACUAUCACAUGUCCCGAGGAAAUCGUGAUGGCUAGGGAACCUAAAAACAUACCCCUUUAUCACCAAGAAGAGAACAUCCGCUCAAUCUAUACAAUAAUUGUAGAGUCAUAGGAGUAAUGAUAAUUUAUUCUUAUACCUCCUCUCAGUCGCUAUGGAAGGGGAGCAGCAGGGCAUUCAGUUUCAUCAGGUCCUAGUAGCCCACGGGAGGAUAAAGGAUGAGCCAGAGGUAGAUCAAGCAAAGGCACACGACAAUGCACUUGAAGAGGAAUAGGACGAAUAUGCGAUGGUUGAUUUCGAUUAUGAUGUGUUGGACCAGGAGCCAAACAAGGAAAAGGGCGUAGAGGAGGCGUGUAGUGAACCUUACCAGUUGGAAGCUGUGAAACACGAUAUUUUGAGACAAUAGAAUGUAACACUUCUCAAAUAUAGGCCAAAAUUUUGCUGUCCUAAAAUCAUAUUUGGGUUAAAUAAAGUGGUAAGACUUGUAUCAAGGUUUUCGUACAUAUAAAGAACACUAAAAUCCAAGUUAUAACGAAAAAGUUAUGACCAAUCUAAGAUUCGCGGCAAAAACCGGCAAUGUUAAUAGACGUAAAACGCAAAAUUUCGAUACAAUAAAAUUUAGCCUUAGGUAUCUAAACGAAAGUCGUAGAUUUUGUUAAACCGUGAUCAUGCAUAAAAAGAACGCCCCAAUCUGACUUCGUAUGAGGAAGUUAGGAUUUUUCGAAGUUUUUGACCUAGUAGUAGAUAGCUAAAAACUCAAAAUAGAGAUCGAGCGAUCUAUAGCCGACACAACCUAAACAAAAGUUGUAGAGCCCGACAAUAGCUGUAUAACGAUAAAAAGUCUGACAAAAUCGGACGUCGGAUGAAGAAAUUACGGAUUUUUAACGAGAAUAUCGUGUCCCGACCUAUUAAUUAAAAUAUAAUUAAAAAUAAAUUCAAAAUUAGCCGAUGGAGUCUAAAUAAAAGUUGUAGAGUAUUUUCUCACCUUCGCGUGGAUAUAAAGAACGUCAAAAAUGGAGCUCGUAUGCGAAGGUUACGGGUUUUAGAAGUUCUUGGCACGCACUUCAAAGUCUUAUCCGAAGGAGUAUGCCCUGCGUACCCUCGUACGCCCCGCGUACUCGUAUACAAGGCUCCGGAUCAACCACGUCGACAGACCCUUCGCCCGAGGAUGCGGUAAGCAGUGACGUAAACGAACGCCCCGCGUACCUUCGGAGUACGCCCCGCGUACGAAGAACGCCCAGCGUAAGUCCGAAGUACGCCCUGCGUACCGAGGACCUCCAGCCCCUAUAAAUAGAUUGUGAGGGUGCCGGCUGUUCUCACACAAAUGCUUCAAUUCUCUGUCAUUUUCGCCUCGUUUUUCGUGCCGACGACAUCCCGACUUCCCGGUUUCAUAUCCAAGCCCCGACGAAAGUCCGAAGCCCCGAGAUUCCCGAAAAUCUCGUCACUUUCCGGUCGAGGUGCCGCCCGGGAAAAUCUCAUUUUCUUCAAAUCACACGCCUUCAUCGGUGAGUUCAUACCCUUAUAAUCUACAUUUUUAAAUGUGUUAUCAAUGUUGUUUUAAUAUACACUUUUAAGGGGGGGGGGGAUACAAGUAAACACACGAUUAUUAUCGUGUGUAACUCAAAGUUUCACUAAAUACUCAUUUUAUCAAAGUAAAUCAUAUGUGAUUCAUAACCAUUAUAUGGAAUCUUUCGCACGGAAANCACGAUAUCAUCUGAUAUAUAUUGAAAUUAAAUAUGUUGUUAUACGUAUACGAAUCAAACAGUUUAUUUAUACUUUGAGUACAGGUGUUCAUUUAUGUCACCACAAAAAGUUACACAUUUCAUAACAAGUGAGCAUUACACUAGGGUUACUAUACAAACGAAACGAACUUUUGGAAAAACUAUAAUAGUUUACGACAAAGUUUUUUACAUGUUAAAAACUUUUUAUCAAACUGUCUUACAUACUUUAUGUUUCCUUUCAAACAUCGUUAGAAUCGUAUUUCAAACAAAUGUCCCCUUAUACUUAAAAUUGUUUUUAUCAAACAAACUACUUUCCAACCAUUUUAUAAACUGACAUCAAGUCAUCACUUCUUAUUAUUUAUUAAACUUCUCAAAGAUUAUACAAAACUUCUUUUAUAUUUUAUUUGUCAAAUGCACGCCUAUACAUGUGUGGUUAUAUAUAUAUAUAUAUAUCAUGUAUACAGAUAUAGACAUAAAAGUUUUCUAUUCAGUUGGUUCAGUACCUUUGGGUAGAAAAGGUAUAUUUCGAUUUUACACAAACACUACUAGUAACUAUAAUAGGUAUAGUCAAGAUAUACUAUUUACCGUUCCAAGUACCAGGAAUCACACAGGAUUCUGUCUAUUCAUGAGUCUAUACAAAUACAUUACAUACUAUGCGAAGAGAUACAAUUAUAUACAAUUAAAAGGCAUACAAUCUUAAGACAUACAAUUACAAAAGCCUACAACUUCAAGACAUACCAUUUCAAGGAAUAUAAUUACAUGAAAUAGUANAGACAUACCAUUUCAAGGAAUACAAUUACAUGAGAUAGUAUGCUAGAUAUUCAUAACGUUUUAUAUACUACAAGUACCAUAUCAAGAAGGUAUUUUCAUAUAAAAACAAAUGGACAUUUUCAUACGUAAAUCUGUUUUAUACUAGGUUGUGAGACAGCUUCACGUACUUUCGAGUAUGCAUUAUUAAGUCCUGUAUUAUAUACCAUAAUCCCUUGUAGGGGGAGCGUGAUACUUGUGUAUAGAUCUAUACGGGAUUGACAAUCCCGCACCUAAAUUGUUAGCUACAGUUAGACCGGUAGGUCUGGGGUGACAAAUGUCAUAACAUUCCAACGCCUGAAGAACGUUGUUACAGGCCGUCAGUGUCAAUAGCAUGGUUAUAAAACUCACAUGGAGUAUUAAAAACACGUUGAUUUACGGAGUUUUCAUAUACCUUAGCAAUUAUAACUAUACACAAAUCUACUAUUUUAUGACAUGAAAACAUCAUGGUAGUUCAUUUUGGGUCUUUAAAAACUACCACCCACUUAUAAACAAAUAUUGGAUUUCUGAAACAAACAUUUAAAACAGUCGAGCCUUGGUAGAAGGCUACACUUUAUACUAGUAGAAAAUAUGGGAUUUUCUAGGAGUUUCAAACGUUUACAAUUACUUACAAACAUAUUCGUUGGUACAAACUUUCUUUCAAACAAUUACAUGUCUUUCUUUACAGCUUUACAAAUCAAAGUCACAUAAAUUCUUAUGAACUCACCAGCAUUAUUGCUGAUACUCGCUUUCAAAAUAACUUGUAUUCCCAGGAUACGGAUAGACAGGUAUGACUACCAGGUUCUGUGAAAACGGAGCGAUCAAGACUCAUCUUUUAUUUUUGAAUAUUCAUUUUUGUAGAAUUAUACUAUGAAAGAACUCAAAUGUAAUUACAAUUAUACUAUUAAUGCAAUGGAUGAUGUUGUUGCUUGUUUACUACUUUGCAUUGUUGUGAUACAUUAAAUGACGUCCUCCGCCCCAGAACGUUUCCGCCGUUCUCGGUUUUGGGGUGUCACAGAAGCGUCGUAAAAUUUCUGCAUGUUUCAAGGGGUGGAUACAGACUACUUACGCGCUCUCGAGGAGGCAGUUAUCAACCUGAAGCUUCAACUCAUCAUGGCCAAGGCAAGGGUUGCGCGAGCCGAGUGAAAAGUAGAGGUAAUCACCCAAGAGGCGUAUGAACUGGCUGAACUUCUGGUGCGCCACCUCGACGAUUGAGCGUCGUCGUCAUCCUUACUAAUAGGACCUGCUCUACUACCUACUAUAUAGAACCCACCAUGACUAGGGUAAGCUGUAUCAGUCCUUAGUACUAGUACUAUUAUCUAUGAUGUGUACCAUCAACUCUAUGUUUAAGUGAUUACACUACUCAUAGAGCCGUUAUGCUGCCGAACUUAAACCGCUUAGGAACGCUCUUUCGAGCAAAAAAUUUCAUGUAUCAAAGUGCAAAUAAUAUUAGUGAAAAAUUUUAUAUGUUUACUGUGAUGUUAUAAUCUGUUGUGUGUUACAUAUCCACGAUUGUGUGCUAAUUUGUGAAAUUACUUAAUUUCGUGCCAUGCACCUAGAUUAUAGGAUCACAAUCUCAGAAAAAGCACAAUCACUCAAAAUCUUUCCGUUCCAUGGCAGAAACGUGCCUCGAUGACCAACCCGCGGAAACCCUGAGCCAAACCCGCUCGACUACAACUCUGUUGCUUUUCAGGCAGCGGUAUCGGCUGCAGUCACUACGGCUAUGGUACAAAUUUACCAAGGGAACAAUGGAGGGGUCAACGGACCAGGGGCUGGAAGUUCGAACAACGGGAUGAAUCAAGAACCUACCAACACAUGCUCCUACAAGGACUUCACCAACGCCAAACCACGAACCUUUAACGGCACUAGAGGGACGAUUACCCUGAAACGAUGGAUCGAGAAGGUGGAAUCGGUGUUCGAGAUAUGUGAAUGCCCUGAGGAGAUGAAGGUGAAGUUUGCCGCAUGCACUCUUGUUGACCAAGCGCUCACUUGGUGGAACGAACAUGUGGAAGCCAUGACACUCCCCGUAGCUAAUUCCAUGCCAUGGACAGAGAUGAAUGAAAUGCGGAUGGCCGAAUACUGCCCUCAUGGAGAAAUUCAGAAAAUGGAACAAGAGCUGUGGAAUCUCACCGUCCGAAACGCAGAUAUAGAUGCAUACAUAUCAAGGUUUAGUGAACUGUCUCUGCUAUGCCCUGGCAUGAUUACCACAGAAGGAAAGAAGAUCGAGCGAUUAAUCUGGGGACUAACCUCCCCGAUCCAAGGAAACGUGAUAGCUGCAAAUCCCGAAACUUUCAACAGUGCCAAGAGAUUGGCCAAGAAGCUGUAUCACCAGAACAACAAGAAGGGUGAGAAGCCAGUGGAGGCUGAAUUUAAGAAGGACAAUGACAACAAAAAGGGAAAGAACAAUAAGAGGAACGAACGUCAACGCUCUGAAUCAUCCAAGAAGCAGCAAACAGUGGAAGUUAAUGUUGCAAUCACUCAAGUUCCACCUGCACCACAUGCUCCAGCCUCAGCUGCUCCAAGUGCCCCUAUGCCUUAUUCCGAUAAUCUUCCCAAGUGAAACAAGUGCUGUCUCCAUCAUAAUGGAGAAUGCACGGAGAUGCAGUACACCAGUUGCAAUCGGAAGGGCACACGACAAAGUAUUGCAGAACCUACCCUCCUCAGAAGCAACAACAGGGAAACAACAACAACAAUAACUGCAACAACAACAACACCGACAAUGGCGGCAACAAUGUAGGACCAAGCCACAACUACUAUGGAUGUGGAAGGACUGGGCAUUUCCGUCGAAAUUGCCCCAACAACAACAAUCCCAGAAAUGGAGGAACAGGAAGGGUGCUAACCAUGGGACAUGGAAAACGGUUUAGGAUCCCGCUGUCGUUACCGGUACGUUACUCCUAAACCACACUUAUGCGUGCAUCCUAUUUGAUACCGGAGCGGAACAAAGUUUUGUGAGCGAUAAAUUUAAACAUUUAUUAAAACAGCAACCCCAGAAGCUCAAUGAAACCUUUACGGUCGAAAUGGCCAAUGGGAAGGCAGAAUCCACUGGGGAGAUCUAUAUCGGAUGUACCCUAACCCUAAAUCAACACGUCUUUCGAAUAAACUUAAUGCCUGUUUCCAUUAGGAGUUUUGAUGUGAUUAUUGGCAUGGACUGGUUAAGCCCCCACCAUGCUGAAAUUAUGUGUCACGAGAAGGCCGUUCGCCUUCACCUUCCAAAUCAUGAAACCCUAGUUACUUACGGAGACAAACCCAGCACGAAUCUUCAUCUCAUCCCGUGCGUCCAGGCACAGAAGCAUCUACGAAAGAAAGAUUUGACGUUCCUGGCGCACAUAGUGGAUAAAUCCAAUAAAGAGAUUAACAUUCAUGACAUUCUUGUAGCUUGUGAAUUCCCAAACAUCUUUCCUGAAGAUCUUCCUGGAGUACCCCCAGAAAGACAAAUUGAGUUUCGAAUUAACCUGGUGCCAGAAGCUACUCCCAUUGCUAAAUCACCUUACAGAUUGGCUCCUGCUGAGAUGCAGGAACUGUCCAGCCAACUCAGUGAACUCCUGGACAAGGGAUUCAUCCGACCCAGUUUCUCGCCUUAGGGGAGCUCCAGUUCUCUUUGUCAAAAAGAAGGACGAAUAUUUUAGGAUGUAUAUCGAUUACAGGGAACUCAAUAAGCUCACUAUCAAAAACCGCUAUCCACUCCCACGAAUCGACGAUUUAUUUGACCAGCUCCAAGGAGCUAGUUACUUCUCUAAGAUAGAUAUGUGAUCCGGGUACCAUCAACUCAAGGUCCGGGAAGAGGAUAUUCCCUAAACCGCUUUCCAAACUCGAUACAGACAUUAUGAAUUUGUCGUGAUGCCCUUCGGUCUAACGAAUUCUCCUGCCGCAUUCAUGGACCUAAUGAAUCGAAUUUGCCGACCAUUCCUCGACAACAUUGUUACUGUUUUCAUUGACGACAUUCUAGUUUAUUCCCGAAGCAAAGAAGAGCAUGGCCAACAUCUCCGACAAAUCCUGGAAACCCUACGAACUGAGAAACUAUAUACAAAACUCUCCAAGUGUGAGUUCUGGCUCCGUAGUGUGAACUUUUUGGGUCAUGUUGUGAGUCAGGAAGGAAUACAUGUGGAUCCUUCUAAGGUCAAAACCAUCGAAGGAUGGGCAGUCCCAACAACACCCACAUAAAUUCGCCAAUUCUUAGGUCUAGCAGGUUAAUACAGGAGGUUCAUUCAAAACUUCUCUAAGACCGCCAAGCCACUUACCUCCCUUACACAAAAGGGCGUACCCUUCAAUUGGACGGACAAACAAGAAGUUGCAUUCCGAACUCUGAAGCAAGCACUCUGCAGUGCCCCGGUACUAUCACUACCAGAGGGAACAAAAGAUUUUGUAGUCUAUAGUGACGCAUCAAAUCAGGGUUUAGGUUGCGUUCUCAUGCAGCGUGGAAAGGUGGUUGCUUACGCGUCCCGGUAGCUAAAGGCACACGAAGUAAAUUAUACAACUCACGGUCUAGAAUUGGGAGUAGUGGUCUUCACCCUGAAGAUUUGGAGGCACUACCUUUAUGGUACAAAGUGCACCAUUUUCACGGACCACAAGAGUCUCCAGCACAUCUUGAAUCAAAAAGAGCUGAAUAUGAGGCAAUGAAGAUGGGUUGAACUAUUAAACGAUUAUGAGUGUGAAAUCAAAUACCACCCAGGCAAGGCUAACGUGGUAGCCGAUGCUUUGAGUCGGAAAGAGUACUCUAAUUGUUGUGUGAAACUCUCUCAAUAACCAUCCAGUCUCACCUAACCACUCAGAUCAGGGCAGCACAGUCAGAUGCUAUGAAGGCGGAAAACAGAACAAGCAAAGCGUUACGCCGAAUGGAGAAGAAUCUCGAGGUGAAAGAGGGCAGAGUAUAUUAUUUCAUGAACCGUAUUUGGGUCCCUAAAAUUGGAGGAUUUAGGGAGGUAGUCAUGAAUGAAGCUCACAAGACGUGAUACUCCAUCCAUCCGGGUUCAGACAAAAUGUACUUGGAUAUUAAACAACAUUAUUGGUGGCCUGACAUGAAGGCAAAGAUUGCCACCUAUGUUAGCAAAUGUCGUACUUGCGCCAAAGUAAAUGUGGAAUACCAGAAGCCCUCGGGGUUAUUACAACAACUAGUAAUUCCCGAGUGGAAAUGGGAAAGGAUUACUACCGAUUUUGUGACCAAGCUACCCAAGUCGUCAGAUGGAUUCGACACUAUAUGGGUAAUAGUCAACCGACUGACUAAAUCCGCUCAUUUCCUGCCAAUAAAAGAAUCCUACAAGAUGGAGAGAUUGACAAGAAUAUACAUUCGAGAAAUCGUGAGACUUCACGGAGUGCCAGUGUCUAUCAUCUCAGAUAGAGAUAGUAGGUNUAAGGUGUCUAAGUCCAUAACUAUUUCGGGCUUGUACUUGACCCGACCCGGCAUGGUCCAUUUGGGUUGCAUGGCACCAUGCAAUUGGAUAGACUAAAUGAGAGAAAUAACACUUGGAGAUUAUUAAUAUAUUAUAAGUUCUAAUAUAUUAAUAAUAUUAUUUGAUUAGUUGAUCAAAGAAUUAAUUUGGAAUUAAUUAAGUGAUCAAAGGAUAACUAAUUAAAUAUAUGGGUUGAUUAUGUAAAUCAUCCAUAUCUUGUAUAGUGGGCUAAGAGGCUCCAUGGAUUAUCAAGUUGGGUUCUACCCAUAGGAUGCUCCAUGGAUGCUCCAUGGGAGUUACAAACCCAUGGGUCAUGGAAAUGAAGAGUCAUGACACAUUAGGGUUUACAUGGUGUAACCCUAGAUGUGUCAACACUAUAUAAGAAUCCCAUUCUCCACCAAAAUCGGCUACACAUAAGAAACUAGAGGGCUUGGCCGAUUUUAAGAAGUGUGUAUUAUCUCAAAGGUCUUUCCAAGAGCAUUUGGUGUUGUGUGAAGCAUUUGAGGCAUCACACUUGGGGUGCUAGGCUCACAAGGUUUCAAGGAACAUAAGCAACAACAAGGUAAGUUAUUCUAUCUUUCAUUCAAGUUAAAAUUGUUCCCCAUGUAUGCUAGAUAGGAAUAUAACCUUGGAAAUUCAACUUUGCAUGGUAAUUAGACAAACAUAGAUCCAAGGUUAUUAGGGUUGCAUGUACACUUAGGAAGUGUUAGAAUGCUCAAAACCCAUCAGUAGGUUCACUUCACGUUUAUGGCAAUCAGUUCAGAAAGCAUUGGGAACCCAUCUCGACAUGAGCACUGCUUAUCACCCACAAACGGAUGGUCAAAGAGAACAAACCAUUCAGACGCUUGAAGACAUUCUUCAUGCAUGUGUGAUAGAUUUUGUGAAGUCCUGGGAUACCUACUUACCCUUAGUUGAAUUCUCAUAGAACAACAGUUACCAUUCGAGCAUCAAAGUUGCUCCUUUCGAGGCACUAUAUGGACGUAAGUGUAGAUCACUGGUGUGUUGGGCUGAGGUGGGCGACACCCAGCUAGCGAGGGAACUAGCAUCAGACAAGACGUUAAUGGGACCGUAGAUCAUACUUGAAACCACGGAAAAGAUAGUUGAAAUCAGAUCUUGACUACAAGCAUCAAGCGACCGACAGAAGAGCUAUGCAGAUAAACGACGAAAGCCCUUGGAGUUUCAGGUCGGGGAUCGAGUGUUGUUAAAAGUUUCACCUGGAAAAGGGUUAUUCGUUUUGGAAAACGGGGAAAAUUGAAUCCAUGAUACAUUGGACCUUUCGAGAUACUUGCCCGAAUUGGUCCAGUGGCGUACCGACUGCAGCUACCGGCUGAGCUCAGCAGUGUACACCCCGUGUUCCAUGUUUCCAAUCUAAAGAAGUGCAUAUCCAAUGAAACUUGCGUCAUUCCCUUUGAGGAAAUUGAAAUCAACGAGAAUAUCCUGUUCGUAGAUGAACCAAUCGAAAUCAUGGACUGGGAGGUGAAGCGUCCCAAGCAAAGUCACAUUCCGAAUCUUGGGCCAGAAUUCACGUGGGAAAGUGAAGAUCAAAUGAACCAGAAGUACCCUCAUCUAUUCUAGCAUUCUCAAAUCUAACUUUCAAAAGAAUUUCGGGACGAAAUUCCCUCUAACAGGGGGAUGAUGUCACUACUAGGAAAUUCGAUGCCUUGUAAACAUUUAACAAUGAUAACAAAUGUGAACCAACAAUGUGAAAGCAUGUAGGAUGCUUAUUCAAUAACAAUAGAAUUUCAAUCAAACACUUCAUACAAGCACCGCAAAUAGUCAACAAAUAAUUGGAAACCCUAGAAAUCCCGCUUUAAGUCCAUUCUGGACUAGGAUUUCCUUAUUUGACCCAAUGGACCUAUAAGCUUCCAAUUUGACUAUAUUUGGCUUAGAACUCUUAAAUGGGCUCUAAUUGGACCCACUUUCAUUUCUUUUAACAUUUUGGGCCAUAUUGGGCCUAGAAUGAAAUAAAAUACUUAAAUGGACCUUAUUGAGCCAUUACUAACCUAAUUUAGCCCUAAUAGGUCAUAAAAAUCAUUUCUUGAUCUACUUUGGGCCAAAAGUUAUCUAAAUUAUCUAUAAUUUGGGCUUGAGAAUUUAAGGGCCCAAAUUCUUUCCUUUUCCCCCUUCAUUCUCGGCCCAAGCCCAAAAGAAAGGAAGGGUUGACUUUUUGCGUGCCACAUCAUUUUUGUUUGUGGGAUAACUAAGCAUUACACUUCAAACAUCCAUGCACUUCUCAUAUUUCCAUGCAUAUGACUCUCUCCUCUCCUAUCUCUUUUGGUCUCGGCCAAAGACACAAAGAAACACACACACCUUACAAAAAUUCUCUCUAAAUCACUUAAGACACAUCUGUUCUUCUUCAUCCAAAAAUCUCGAAUUUUGCUUGUGAUUCAAGAGGUUUUCAUCAAGUAGUUCACAUCUUUGGUAAGUUAUCUCUUUGAUUCAUAACACUAGGUGUGAGACCCGUGUGUUACACGGGUUGAUUAAAAAAAUUAAAUAUAAGGUGUAGAAAAUAGUAUUUUCUAAAGUAAAAUUUUGAAAUAAAUAUAAAUGAAAUGAUGAAUAAGUAAUGCAAUCUAUACUAAUAAAAAAAUAUUAUCAUGUUUUAAAUAAUCAUGUUGAAUAUGAAUGUGUAAAAAAUUAAGUAUUUUUUGAACUAAACUUUUGAAAUAAAAACAAUGAAUAGAAUAAACCACAAGGACCAUUUAUGUAAUUUGUCUUAAUUAAUCUAUACUAAUAAAACUAAUUAAUAUAAAUUCAUAAAUGGAAUUCAUUAAUAUAUUAAUAAAAAUAAGAAUUCACAAAUGGAAGGUUUACUAUAUACAUUAAUUCUCAUUAAUUAUUAUGAAGUGGCAUUUAAUAGGUGGAAGAUGAAUAAAAAUAAAAAAAGAGAAAUUAAAUAUCCUCCUACUUUUCUUCCUAAUUAUCUUCCUACCCAUUUGAAAUUAUGACAAGUGUCCUAAAAUAUCAUUAGUUUUUAUCUAAAUAUGACACUUGUCACAAUUUCUUGUGGGUAGGAAGAUAAGUAGGAAGAAAAGGUAGGAGGAUCCUUAAUAUCUCUAAAAAAAAUACAAAAAUGACAAGUGGAAAUUUUUUUUUAAAUUCUAAAAAGAUGACAUGUGUCAAAUUCAAUAAGAAGUUGACAUCUAGCAAAAUUAUCUUUAUUUAUUAGGGUAGAUAUCUUCUUCAUUUUACCAACAAUCUUCCUUAUCUCAUAGAAAACUUGUGAUCUUGCACCUUAGAAACAUCUAAGUUCGAGAUCCUCCAAGAAAGGUUGCUAGGAUCGAAUUCUUCUUCAUCUUUUCCUUCAAAAACUGAAACCACACUCAAGGUGAUCUUUAUACCCCUUUCUUUUUGGUUUUUAUGAGUUUUAUGGGGGGGGGGGGGGAAUACAAGAAAAUGUGUAGAUCUUUGUGUAUAUAUAUGCUAUGUGUGUUUUGAUGCAUGUAUGUGUGUGAUUUCAUGUGUUUUGUGAUGAAUAUGUUACCAAAAAGGGUGUAAACCCGAGAUCUAUGACAUGAGAAAGGAAACAAACAUAAACUAAGCUAUAUUACACUAAAAAAAUCAAGAAUAAUAGCUUAUAAUUUCAUGAUGAUCAUAUUCUAACAUAAAACCCAUGUUUGGGCUUAAAUUGACAAAAAUACAAAAUUUGGGGUACAAAUCAACAAGUCACGGUUUCUUGAAGGUUAAAAGGGUCAAAACAGUUUCUAUAAAUAUUUUCGUAAACAUUAGAAAUUUCAAAGGACCUAAAAUGUAAAUUUUUAGCUUAAUGGGCUAAUUUUGGGCUUUUCGGUCUAAUAAGCCCCAAAAUGCGAAAAAUGAUAAAUUUUAAGGGCUGAAGUGAAAUUUUCUAUAAAACAGGGGGUAAUUAGUAUGACAAAAUCAUUUUAUGGGUCAAAAAUGUUUUCCACUAUCAAAAGGGACCAAAAAUGUAAACUUUUCGGAUUUUAGGUCAAAACUGUAAAAGUUGUCGACAAAAUAAAUAACACAAAAGUGUCAAGAAAAGCGUUUUAAGGACUAAAAAUGAAAUUGUUUUAUAUGAGAGGACCAAAAGCGUUAUUUUAUGAAAGAAAGGUGGUGAAAAGGUCAAAUUCCAUUUUCAAACAAAUUAAAUUCAUUAAUACAAAAUACAAGAUCCACGGCUACCGAUGAAAUGGAAAACAAUUACACUCUCAAUAACAAAUAUCGUGACAAAACGAAUUGAUUCGAUCUCGAAUCAAUAACAAAACAAAAUCGUCAAACCAAAGCCAUUUGAAAGGCUUAAUUUAGUGGUUUGGUCUAGGCUUUACAAUGUAAUGAUAGGGGUGUGUUGGUAAUAUAUUUUUGUUGACUAGUUUACGGUUGUAAUGAGUUUACGGCCGUCAACACCUUAUGGCCGUAAACUCUUCUCGGUCAUGAGGUUUAUAAAUAGUGGGCUCGUGAGACGUUUAUAGUUGUUGAUGCCCUUAGAUUUCACGGCUCUUGUCAAGUUGUACCAGACGUUUAUUGCUAUAAAAUGUGUGCAAGUUUGCUUUGUUAUUUCUCUAUGUUUAUUAUUGCUUUGUGUGGUUGUAUUUGCUUUUGAUCUUUGGUAGGAUCCGUUAUUCGGACCUUACAAUUGGUAUCAGAGCAAAACCGAUGUCAAAGGCAUUCUACAAUCGAUUUUGGUGCAAGUUCGUGUUUCUUCUGCAAAAGGUUUUUUCGUUUCAUCAAGAAACUGAAAUAAUUGUGGUUUACGACCCAAGCUUACGGCCAUAAGCUCAAUAUAUGGCCGCAAUCCCGUGAAAGUUCUUGGACCGUGAACUGAUUUUUUUAACAGUAAACUGGAAUCGAAGACCGUGUUCGUCAAUCGUAAAAGCCUUGGACCGUGAAUCAAAAUUAAACUCUUCAAUUUUUGAACCAAAAAUCUUAAUCGACAAUUUAAAGUUUAUGGUCGCAAACUCUGAGUUUACGGCCGCAAACUCUUUUUUACAACAAACUUGUUUUUGCCAGUGAACUACAUUUUUAUUGCAGUACAUCACUUUGUGACAGUAAAUCGGAUUUUAUUUUAAUUUGAAUCUUAAUUAAUUUUAAUUAAUUCUCAAAAAUGGAAUCUCAAAGUCAAAACCAUUUUCAAGAGCUUUAUGCUGUCAUGGAUACCACUACGCGAAUUCCAAGGUUAAUGUCUGCUGAUGGGUUUCCCGAGUGGAAGUAUAUAAUAGAAAAGUACAUAAAGAUGAAAGAUUUCAAGAGAUGGAAAUUCAUCAUCAAGGAUCCGAUCAGAAUAACCACUACAGUUAUGGGGCAAGUGGUUGAUAAGAAGAUAGAAAACUACACCGAUAAAGACUUUGAGACUAUGGAAGAGCAGAAGAAGGCUUUGGCCAUUUUGACCAUGGCCCUGUCACCUAAUAUUGCUCAAGGGUUCAGAGAGUAUACGUCUGCUAAAGCUUUGUGGGAAGCCCUAAUUGAGGUGUAUGAAGGGAACGAAGACAUGCGAGAGAGUCGCCAGGACAUGAUGCGACAACGAUUCAAUAUGUUCAAUUAUGUACCUGGAGAGACUCUUGAAGUUCAGUUGCAGCGGUUCACAACUCUUAAUACAUAAAUGACUAUGGCAGGGAUCUUCUACACAAAGUCAGAGAUAAAUAAGAAGCUACUGAAUGCUCUCCCAAAAUCUUGGGACAUGAAUCUAGCAGUCAUUAAGAAGACUAAGGAUCUCAGCCGCCUCUCUCGCGCUGAGGUGAUGGCAGUCAUCAAAGCAUGUGAUAUUGAUGACAAGCAACAGGAAAUCAAUCAUGUGAACUCAUACUCAGCUGCGAAUCUUGGCAUCUCGACUAACAAUGCUCUUUCCUCUUUCUCUUUUUCUUCUGCAGGUUUAUCAUUUAAUACUCCACAAGCUUAGAUUCAGACACUCUCCCAUCCUUCAGCUUCCUCUGCAUCAUUCAUGGCCUAUUCAACGAACCAAUUGUUCGUGGCUACUCAAACUGCCUCAUCCUUAGAUGUGGCUUCUUCUUCAAGAGGAAAGGAGGGUGAUGAAAAUCUCGUUUUGGCAUCAGGGCUUGUCAAUUGUUACAAUGCACUUGUAGCCGGGGAGCUUCCACCUGAACUGUCAUUUUCCGAUCUUGAUCAGAUUCAUCCUGAAGAUGUUGAGGAGAUGAGUAUUACAUGGCAAAUUGCCAUGGCAGCCUUUAGGGCAAAACAAUUUGCCAAAAGGACUGGGCAAAACAACUGGGGGAUGAGUGCUGAUAAGAAGGUUGGAUUCAACAAGGGAAAGAUGCGAUGUUUCAAUUGCCACGAGCCAGGGCAUUUUGCUCGUGAUUUCCCACACCCAGACAUAAGAUUAAACAACGACAUGACAAUAGUUGCAGUUGGUAGCAGUCGAAGUGGUGCUCGGACAAACAAUGAGAAGGCUAUAGUUGCACAAUCGUUUGAUUCGGAGGAUCAGAUACAGACCCUAAUUCAACCAAGGUAUCCUCUUCUCAUGAACCUAAUUCAACCAAUGUAAGUCUACCCUCAUGCUCUCAAGCUUGUAUUGAUUAUAUUAAAACUUUGCACGAGAAAAAUGAGACAUUAGGAAGUGAACUAGAAAGCCUUAAGAUUCUUCAUAAGCUUAAUGAACAAAACGUUAAAAGACGCCGCAAGAACAAUGCUGUGUGAUUCAAAACUACCUGUUUUCUUUUGGGCCGAGGCGAUAAACACUGCCUGUUAUGUUCAUAAUUGAGUGUUAAUCAACAAAGGUUAGAUGAAAACCCCGUACAAAAUUUUCUAUGGUCACAAGCCAUCAGCUAGUCAUUUUUGUGUAUUUGGCUGUCCUUGCACCCUUCUUCACUUAGAUACCAACCCAAAUUUUAAUUCCAAGGCCGAUGACUGCUAUUUCGUAGGGUAUGCUGCUCGCACUUCCUAUAGAUUCUAUAAUAAGAAAACAAAACAAAUUGUGGAAUCUUAUGACAUGCGUUGGUUGGAAAAAAAUGAGACAGUCGCUAGAGUGGGUACGGAUUGGUUGUUUGAUUACACAUCGCUUUUCAAAUCCUUAAAUGUGUCUUCAAGUGAUGUAUAUAGACAUGUUUCUUAUUGGAAGAGUAUUUAUGAAGAUGAAGAUGGAGAAGUUAUCUACAAGCCUCUAUCUACAUCCUCUUAUUCAUCGAAUGGGAAGUCCAAAGUUACACUUGAGGGGGAAUCCUCUGGUUCACAUAAGGGAGGGUCCUCUGCUACACAUGAGGGGGGAGUCCUCCGCUACACUUGAGGGGGAGUCCUCUGGUUUACAUAAGGGAAGGUACUUUGCUACACCUGAGGGGGAGUCCUCCGCUACACCUGAGCGGAAGUCCUCCGCUACACCUGAGGGGUAGUCUUCUGCAACAUCUAAGGGGGAGUCCUCUGCUACACCUCAAGGGGAGUCGUCUAUGCAACAUCAUAGUCCUCAAUCUUCAGUCCAAACUGAUUCUCCAGAUGCUGAAACUACCUCAUAUGUCAAUAGAGAAAGAGUUAUUCCCUACUGAUGCUUCCGUGGUCGCUUCAACUUUUAUGGAACUACUCUUUCCUGAACUUAUCUUAGAUGAGUUUGUAAGAGAGCCGUCUGGAGCGGCUCAAUCAGAAAAUGAAGGAGGUAUCAAUAUUCACACUCUUACUUUGUCUCUCAAUGACAUCAGCCAAGAAAUACCUUCAAGGAUUCAACACGAUCAUCCGAUCGAUAACGUCAUUGGUCAGCUAGGUGAUGGUGUUAAAACGAGAAGUCAGAGUGGAGACGUUAAUGCUUGUCUUUAUUCUUGAUUUAUUUCUCAAAUAGCGCCCAAGAAUGUUGAAAUGGCUCUAAAUGAACCUAGUUGGGUAGAUGCAAUGCAUGAGGAAUUGCACCAAUUUGAAAAACUCGGUGUUUGGAAGUUAGUUGAGUUGCCAAAGGGCAAGAAGUCUCUUGACACACGAUGGGUUUAUCGCAAUAAGCAGGAUGAUUCGAUUGGUGGUUCAUGGGUUUCAAAAAGUAACGGUCUUGAUUACACUGAAGUUUAUGCUCCAGUAGCUCGCCUGGAGGCUAUUCGUAUCUUCCUAGCAUAUGCUUCUUACAUAAACUUUACCGUUUACCAAAUGGACGUCAAAACCGCCUUCUUGUAUGGCAAGGUGAAAGAAGAAAUCUACGUUGAUCAACCCCCUGGGUUUGUUGAUUCGAAGUUUCCAAAUCAUGUCUAUAAGUUGGAUAAGGCAUUGUAUGGGUUACAUCAAGCUGUUAGAGCAUGGUAUGAAACCCUAACAAAGCACUUGCUCGAAAAUGGUUACUCUCGUGGCACUAUCGAUCAGACCUUGUUUAUCAAGCACUUCGAAAAGGACCAGGUACUCGUACAAAUCUAUGUCGACGACAUUAUCUUUGGGUCAACUAGUCCGCAGCUUUUCAAAGAAUUCGAAGGUGUAAUGAAGAAACGGUUCGAAAUGAGUUCGUUGGGAGAAAUGACCAUGUUUUUGGGGCUUCAGGUUAAACAGAAUUCAACCGGAAUCCUGCUACAUCAAACCAAAUAUAUGGAGGAUAUUCUUCAGAAGUUCGAGUUUCACGAUGCUAAAUUUGCUUCUACACCGAUGGCUAAACGACCUCUUCUGACUCCAGAUCCUGAAGGUCAAUCCGUAGAUCAGACUCACUAUCAAUUGAUGAUCGGAUCGCUGAUGUAUCUUACUACAAGCCGACCUGACAUCAUGUUUGCAUUUUGUCAAUGCGCACGUUAUCAGGUUAAUCAAAAACUUUGACAUCUUAUUGCUGUCAAAAGAAUUUUUUGGUAUAUCAAAGGGAGCCCAAAAUUGGGUCUUUGGUAUCCGAAGAAUUUUGAAUUUGAUCUUUAUGCUUUUAGUGACAAUAAUUAUGGAGGCCGUGAGCUUGACAGGAAAUCAACCUCAGGAGGAUGUCAGUACCUAGGUGACAGACUAGUUUUGUGGCAAUGCAAGAAGCAACACACUGUCUCAACUUCCACAUCAGAGGCGGAAUAUGUUGCUGCAUCACCUUGCUGCUCUCAAGUUAUCUGGAUCCAACAUCAGUUGUUGAACUACGGUUUGAACUAUUUUGAAACCCCCAUUUAUUGUGAUAAUGAAGCUGCCAUUCAUAUUGCCAAAAACCCAGUCCGACACUCUAAAACCAAUCACAUCGACAUUAAAAUUCAAUUUAUCAGAGACUGUUAUGAACGAUCGCUAAUCCGGCUGGAACAGGUCCACACUGAUAAUAAUGUGGAGGACCUAUUUACAAAAUAUCACACCCCAAAACCAAGAAUGGCGGAAAUGUUCUGGGGCGGAGGACGUCAUGUACAGUAUCACAACAAUGUAAAGUAGUAAACAAGCAACAACAUCAUCCAUUGCAUUAAUAAUAUAAUUAUAAACACUAAAGCAUAAAUCAAAAUGAAAGAUGAGUCUUGAACAAGCUCCAUCUUCCCUAGUCCUUGCAUCGGUACCUGUCUAUGAUGACCUGAUUAUACAAGUAAUUUUGAAAGCGAGUAUCAAUUUUGAAGCUAGUGAGAUCAUAAGUAUUUUAGUGUCUUAAUAUGUAUGUAAGAAUUUGUAUGUAAGAAUUUGUAAGCAUUGAAAAUGUAUGUAAAUCGUAAGUAUUGAAAAUGUAUGCAAAAAACAAUUGUAAACGUUUGAAAAACUCUAGAAAUCCCUAUGAUUCCAACUAUUAUAACAGGGAGUCUUCUACCAAGACUUAACUGAUCUGUAUGUAGCCUUCUACCAAGGCAUCUAGUGUCUGUGUGUGUCUUUAGUAAGAAUGUGUAUUUUCCCAAGUCUGACUAUCAUUAACCAAAAAUAUAGUUUCUACAUUACCGUGCGUGGUGUGAAUGUUCACGAAGGGAAUGUAAUGGGAAAAGAAAUAGUGCUAUGGUGUAGUGUCGAACUACAACCGUACCUAUUACCUUAAAUCUAGGGUAAUACUUCCAAGUAAUGUAGUAUUUGAUAUGAAUAACUACAUCGGUACUCAAUUGCCUUAUUUGAGGGAUAAGGUAUAAUGUGAUGUCUAGAUCCCAGACUAUACGCUCCCCUAUCAAAGGGUUUUUGGGACCUACCCACGACCACUGCAUCUAUGCAAGCUGUGAGCAUCCACAUUACUAUGAUCAUGUAUACUUGAUAUAACUAUCACAAUUGCGUUGUGAUUCAUCAGUAUAGUUAGAUCCUGAACUGGCUCCGUGCUAUAGCACCUAGUGACGUCUGUUCUAAGUAUAUGUAAGCGUACACAUAUAAGUGUGAUCAUGUAAUUGUACUUAUGUAAGUGUGAUCAUGUAAUAGUAUAGUAGUGUACUGUAAUGUUCUACAUGUGCUAGCUGUAAUGUCUGUUCUCUCUCUAUCUAGCAUGUAUAGUAAUGUACUGUAAUGUUCUAGCUGUAAUGUAUGCUCUCUCUAUCUAGCAAGUAUAGUAAUGUAUAGUAAUGAUCUUGAAAGUAUUGACUCAUGAAUGAACUGACUCAUUGUAUGAUAUUGCGUUCUAGUAAUAGUUCUAGUAUCUUCCUAAACUACCCAUAUGGUAGUUUACUAUUAAUCUAACUGGUAGAUAUGGACAUGGAUGUAUACCUUUGCUACCCAAGGGCAUGGGAUGAACUGGAAGGACCUUUUAUGACUAUAUAUGUACACAUCAUAUAUAACUAAUAUUUAAACGACCUUCGGACGAGUACCCAAUAUUCUAUCAGCCCACAUCCAAAUCGAGAAAAAGGACACAAGAUGGAUAGCCUUCCUAAGUCUUUUAAACAUUACUUAUAUAACCAUACAUAUAGAGGCAUGCAAUUUAUAAUAUAAAAGCAUAAAAUAAGUUUUGUAAAACCUUUGAACAUAAUUAUUAUCUAAGAAAAGAUCGACUUGAUGUCAAUCUAUAAAACAGUUUGAAGGCAUGGGUUUGAUGAAACAGUUUAGUAUAAAGAAACAUUUGUUUGAAACACAAUUGUAAAUAAGUUCGAAAUGUAAUAUACAGAGUAAAAUGUACAGUGUAAUAAGGAGUUUUAAAACAUAUAAAAUGUUUAUGAAAAUCAUUUGAAGGAAACUGUCUGGUAAAACGGCUAAUGAGUAUUAAAUCAUAUAAAUGCUGCUUAUUUAUCACAUGUGAUUGAUAUAAUAAGUAGCAUGAUUCUACUUGUAUCCCCCCCAUAAAGCAUUUAAAAAUAGUAAAACAUUGAUUAAGGGGUAUGAAGUCACCUGCAGUAAGUGGCUGGAAUUGAACGGACNACUGUUAUCGUAAGGAAGGAUCGGACAAGUGCUUGGUGUCAAGUGAAGACUUUAGACACACACAAUGAUCCUAAUUACAUAUGAAGACAUAUGUAUUUAAAUAAUUAGUGAUUAAAACACUAAUUAUACAAGUAUAAACAUUUAAACGCGAGGAAAACACUUUUGGUCAAGUGCUAGGAGGCUAAUGGGUUGCAACAAAGGAGUGCAAUGCCCCUAAUGGGAGUUUAUGGUCAAAUAACCAUAUGCUUUGGAUUUUACGGCCUAGGGGAGUAAACUGCUAGCCGUAAACUCUCAACUAGGUCUCUAAUCGAAGCUUAGAAUUAAUACAACUCAAGUGGUGAAGGGCUUCUAGUCUUAACCAAGUGUUUGGGACUCUUUUUAACUCCAUUUAGGAGUUCACGGCAUUGGGACCAUAUUCCCUUGGAGUUUACGGCCGUAAACUCCCUUGGGAGGGUGUUUNGCACAAGUGGUAUAAGUUCUAGGCUUUUAUUCCAAACAUAUGAAGACUCUUGACACACUUUGGUGCCCCAUUAAUGAGUUUACGGCCCAUGAACCAUGUCAUGGCCGUAAACUCACUUUGCAAGGUGAUUUCUAUGUGUUUAAGGCCCUUGUUUUUAUGGGAACAAGUCUAUGUAAAAUUCUAAGGCCUUAGGUGCCUUAAAAGCACCAUUUUGAGCAUGCUUUUUGGAGUUUACGACUUAAGAUACUCUUGGGCCGUGAACUCCCAAACUUGGGUGAUUCUUGCUUGAUUUCAUGUCCUUAAUACACUCCUAUAAAAGUCCCAGGCAGUAGUAUAUCACGGGGGACAAUCUAGGCUUGGUUUCUGGAGUUUACCGCCCAAGAACACCUUGGGGAGUAAACUCCUAAAUCGAAUGAUUUAGCUAUGUAAUCUAUGUUAUGAACACAUUUAAAGCUUUCUAACACUACUAGAAAGGGUUACUCACAAUUUGGGAUAAAAACCCGAAGAUCCGUGAGAGAGAAUUUUGGCUUUUCUAUAAUUGGAAAUGUAACUAAUGAACUAUUUGGUUCAGUUUUCUAUAUAUAGUCCUGGGGUUUUUGGCAAAAAAUAUUUUUAUUCCUGGAAUGAACUCUAAUAUCCUAGAGUAUUGGAAUAACAGUGUUGCACAAAACACUAGUGCAUCCACUCUCCUAAUAUCUCCUUAAGCGUCAAUCCUGAAAAACUAGCAAACUUAUACUCGAAGUCUGAAUUUUCAUUGCAACUGUUCUAACUUCUAUUGCAUUGAUAUGGUUUGUUCAGAAUGGAAAUUUCGGGUUGUCACAUCAUCCCCCUGUUAAAGGAAAUUUCGUCCCGAAAUUAGAACCUAGAUAAGGAAGUAGGUACGAAUGAUUGAGUCGUGAGAAGAAAAUUUCUUAAUCGAUUGGUUCUAGCACACCUAAGUGAAAUCGGGUACUCGGUUGGCAUCCCAACGAACCUUCACUAACGGGCAAUGGCGUUGCUUCCUCCGCUUGACCUCUCGGUCGAGGGUCGCUACGGUUCUAAUACGAAGGCGAGGAUCUCGACGAGUGGACUUACAAUAAUCCUAACGGAAAGGUAUGGUUUCAUGAUUGAGAUGCUAAGAGUAAUAUGUAUGUUACUGAGUUCACGGAGUAGGUCUAGUUUGCGAGAUACAUGACUGAUUCUGGUAAGAAUCUUGGAGGUCUUGUCUAUCUUGGAUUUAGCUUUGCACGCUUUACGAAGCGUAUUAAGCCGUUCCUGAGUGAGACUUCCUAAAGGAUUUGGUCUCUCACUUGGAAUCUCCAAAGGUUCUUUCUCUUGCUUAACUUCCCAGUCAAGGGUCACUCCUGGCUGGGUCAAGGUCGUAUGGUUUCCUGUGAUUUACGAGGGUUUCUGGAUGAACUAUGAGAGUAGGUCUGUAAGACCUAGAAUUUAGCGAAAGACAUGUCGGCGUCUCUGGUGUCGACAAAUUCUCAACGGUUUUGACAAAUUGAAAGAGUACUCAAAAUUUCCCACAUUACUAACAGUGUGUCAUAGAAAUUUGACUCUUCAAUUUCAAAACUCAUGCCUAGAGAACUUUGCUAAAAGUUCCUCUGUAGGAAAUGUUUCCAUGGGUUUUGUUCUUACUACGAGGAUAGAUAAGUAAGUCAUUACAUGGAGAAAUGACGAACUGAUCCAUGUAAGAAAGAUGUACCCUAUUCGUUUAGCUCAUGAAAGCUAUGGGCGUAUUGGUCCUAUCCGAAGGGUAUCACUACGGACUCGAAGUGCUCGCAUCGAGUUCGGAAGAUAGUCAUAGGUAAGAUAUGCCUACCUUAUUUUAAAUAUAGCUUUUAUUUAAAUAUAGUAAUGUUAUUAGGACCUUAUAAUAAAUAUUUGGGCUAUUAUUAUGAGUUACAUAAGUGUUGUUAUAAUGCCUUUUUAACUACUCGCAGUACGGGGAAUCCGGUUUGAAGGGCCGCUUGGGUUGUUGGAUUUUAGAACGGCUUAAAUGCUAAAAUAAGUAUUGUUUAACUCUAAUAUAAUAAUAAUAAUAAUAAUAAUAAUAAUAAUAAUAAGAAGAAGAAGAAGAAGAAGAAGAAGAAGACUAAUAAUUAGUUACGUGUUAUGUGUGCAUGUUAUCUGUAUACUUGUUAUCUAUAUCGGAUGAACACUAUUAGACAUGUUUUAAAUGAUUUCAACUGUAUACGUAUUUAAUACUUAUAGAUUACAAUGGGUAAAGAUGGGUGGAUGAAAGAUGAGUUGGAUGAUGAGAUGAAAGGUGAUAUAAAUCAUGAUAUAAAGGUGAGAGGUGAAAAUGAGAAAAGCCAUUACCCAAGCGUUGGCCCUGUCAUUUAGCAGAAUAUAGAUGACAACCACGGACUAUUCCAGACGGUCCGGUGGAACACUCGCAGGCUCGCAAGCUGUAGAUGCUUUUGAACGAUGUAUUCACCCAUUGUACUCUAAAAACCCAUUGACAUGUAUUACAAGUGGACUCCCUAAAAUAAUAUUGUUAAUAAACGAGAUAAACCCUAGCAUCUAUGGACUUAGUGACUGUUGUAGAAACACUUGCCAUUAUGGACUUAGUGCCUACUAUAUAAACCCUUGUGACUAUGGAAUUAGCGCCUGUUGUAUAAACCAUGGCGACGAUGGACUUUUUAACUAUUCCUUAGAAUAAUCCUUAGGAAUGAAUGAACGAAGAAUAGUUGAUUCUUACGAUAGAUCCUUAAGAGUAAAAAAGAUAAUGGGGAUGGAUAAUUGGGUUGAUUGUUUGAUGUUUAAACAUAAUAACUAUAUUAUUGUGGGUUGAAAACUCUAUGUACUCACCAGGUAUAUCAACCUGAACCACUCAGUUUAUUUGUAUCACAGGUGUCGAUACGAAGCCACAUUACACUGAGAGACUAAGGAUAUUGAGAUCACUAGUGUAUAUGAAAGUAAUGUUUGUUUAUGAUUAUUUUUUAGUAUUGACGAUCACAUCCCAAUGUUUUAAAAAGGAAUAAAAUAAAUUUCUUCGGAAAUGCUUUGAUAUUAUAUUUAUAAUGUUUUUCUAGGAAUAAAUUCCACAACAUAUUUCUUUAAAAGAUACUCUGAUUUUCAAAAUAAAGCAUAAACAAAUCGGUCUUUUAUUACUGUGAAAAUGUGGAUGUCACGGUUGAUAUCAGAUCAUUAGUUUAAGCGAACUAGGAAUUUUAGGAAAUACUUGUAGAGAACACAUGUUUCCGUGAACAUAACACCAUGGUAAAGACUUCUAGAGAAUUGAGUAAAAGGAGUAAAUGAAAAGGCUUAUGAUAGUGAAUAAAAACUAUUGGAAGAUACCGUAAUUGUGGUAUCUUGCCUUUAGAAUACGUCAGGUAAAAUAACAGUACGUUUAGAGGUGUAGUACGUCCGAAAUACACCUUCGAUUGGCAGGAUGAUGGAACGAUUGGUGUAAUUACUGAAGUUGUCCUAUCAUAUGAUGUUUCCACCACCAACCGUGUUGAAGCAUAAUUGAUGAUUUAAGAUACGGAUGGAAUAAGUCCUAGUAGAGUCUAGGGAAAAUUUUAUGAUUUUUUGGCCAUAUUUGUAUGUGUUAAAAUUUUUUUUAUGAUAAUAACUUGGAGAACUAUGAGACAGUAUUUCGGACGAGUAUGAGUAGGUGUGAAUGGCAGUAGAGGCCUAUACUACCGGAAGCACAUGACUCGCACUUGAAUUAAGGAAAGUCACAAGCUUACUAAGAAACUAGUAACUGAUUCUAUUUUUUUCAUCCGUGUCGUUACCAUCCUUUCUGUACUGACUGAUAGUUGUUAUUCUGACCCUAGUGAUCAUAUCAUAUCGAUUCCGACUAAGAUGAGAAUGUUACGUGGUUUAGACAACCAAGUUUGAUGUAGCAUCCGACAUAAGCCAGAAGAUUGAAGUGAAAGAUAAUCAAAGCGGUUGUGAUCGUUGUUAAAGUAAUAAACUUGUAGCUACAAAUGAUACAUGCUAAAAGGUGAUUACAUCACAUUAGAACAUGAGGGAAGGUAUAUUCCAUUCUAGAAUUUGACUCUAAGAUACCUGAGUCUAAGUGUUCCAGCAUACGAUGAGAGGUCAUUAGAACAUGGCUUAUCGGUCUGUCAUGAUUAUCAAAAUAAAGAACUUCUCUUAAGUAAAGUUUGUUGAAAAAGGAGCAAGAGUCUCCAAUAAGUAUUGUGUUUGUAACUCAAAGGUUACAACAUAGUAUGAAGAGCAGGUGCGAGAUCGAGCACCGUAUGUAGCAAGAAAUCCAAGAGAUAGAUAUUCAUUUGAAGGAACAUAGAACUUACAAUUAUUAUCUAGGAUGAAGAGAUAAUGUAUGGAGUCAUUAUACAAGCCCUGUUUUAUUGAUCAUUUUGGGACAUAAUCAUCCUAAGCGGGAGAUAAAUGUAACACCCGUAAAAUCAGACUUGUCAAUUAAAAGACAAUAAGCAUCAAAAAUGAAAUUUUGAUGGAAUAUGAUUUAGAAUGAAUAAUCUUAACCAAGUUAUCAUAUAUGCCACAACGGUCUUUGCAUAUAAAGAAUGCCGAAAUCCAAAUUACAACGAUGAAGUUAUUGCCAGUCGAAGUUUUACGACAAAACCGGCACAUCACCGCUUAUCGUAAACGUGAAUUUUUGAUAAAAUACUUUUUAGCCUUAGAGAUCUAACUUAAAGUUGUAGUUUACGUUAAACCAAGAGCAUGCAUAAAAAGAUCGCCAAAAUCUGACUUCAUAUGAGGAAGUUAUGAUUUUUCUAAGAUUUAUGCAUAGUAGUGCACAAUCUGGAAUUCGAAUUUUAGAUCAAUCAAUUUUUGGCCAACGUAACGUAAAUGAUAAUUGAAGAUCUCAUUAAUAGGAGCUCAACGAUAAAAAGACGGACCAAAACAGAGUCCGCAUGUAGAAGUGAUGAAUUUUAUGCAGUCAUUUGAUAGUGUAAUCUUCUCGUACUGUUAAAAUUAAAAUUGGUCGGGAAUUAGCCGAUGGAGUCAAAUGGGAAGUCGUAGAUCUUGUCAUUACCUACAUGUGGAUAUAAAAACGGCAAAAAAGAAGUUCGUAUGUGAAAGUUAUGAAUUUUUAAAGAUUUGUUGUUUUACCUGCUUCUGACGCCACUUGUGAGCACCAGGCGAAGCCUUGGAGCCUAUGCAAGGCUACGACAUGAAUUUUGAGUUCACAACGUGGAGCUCCCCCAGAAAACCUUUAGAUAGAGGCGUACAUCACUCCCAAAACUCACACCUUCACCCUUCUUUCUCUCUCAAUACUCCAAACAUCUCCUUCCCAAUCCGUAGCAACUUCCAAGUGCUAGAGGCGAGUCCCGGAGCACCCGACGACUCUGAGAAGAAGAGCUUUCGGCACGGAAUGUCUGCCUCUGCAGAGCCCGGCUCCUACCCAAACCCCCUCGUAGGAACUGCUAACUACUUCACAUAAUGGGGAACCCUAGGCUAGCGGGCAUCAUGUAAUCAGGCAACUCUAUCAUGCAAUUCCUGAAGAUCCCUAGCCUAGUACUAGUAUGUUGUUCUAACAUAUCACAUAAUCAAGUAACUUUGUAUGGUAUUUUCGGGUCUACUUACUGGCUCUGGCUGAUCAUACCUCCGCAUCCUCCUUUACUUAUUUUGAAAACCAUUUUAAUUCUCUUUUUGAAAACUCUCCUUGAUUUGAGACUGGAUUCACACGAAUGUUCCUCCAAUUCACUCAAACCAAGGCUCUGAUACCAACUUGUAACACCAUGAAAAUUACAACUAAUUUAAACUUUUCAAAAACAACCAUAUUCAUUAAGUUAUUACAAUGUAUUUAUGAUGUUUUUCUAGAAACAAAUUCUGCAACAUAUUUCUUUAAAAGAUACUCUAAUUUUCAAAAUAAAGCAUAAACAAAUCUGUCUUUUAUGGCCAUGAAAAUGGGGAUGGCACACCAACAACCCCUAGUGCAAUCCAAAUAUGAGCUAAGGACCGAGGAGAGAAUGCCAAACUCAUACUGAGGGCUCAUUUGUAUUCCAGAUAUGAGCUAAGGUCUGGCUAGGGCAUGCUAGACUCAUAAUGAUGGCUUAGUAGCAUUUCAGAUACAAGUUUAGGCCCGAUUGGUAUGCCAGACUUGUACUAAGGUUUAACCAUUUCUGUUCCAGUCUAAUGAUUGAUUGGGCUUGGGAUCAAGCCAGACAUAAGUUGUGGCCCUCGAUGGCAAGCCAGACAUAUGUUGUGGGCUCUAGAGUAAACCAUAUAUAAGUUGUGGGCCAGAUAGGCAAGCCAGACUCAUAUUGUCAGCUCAGUGGUAAUCCAGUCUUUUAGCUAUGGACCCAUUGCAUGUUGUUAUUGUAUAUGUGUUAAUUGUUUGUACGGGCAAUUUGGGAGAAGUCACUAAGCUUCGUGCUUACAGUUUUGACUUAUUGUUUCAGGUACGUUAAUGGAUCGUGGCAAGGUGAAGGCGUGACCGUACAUAUCCUUGUGUUUUUGGGACUUAUGAUUUCUGACAAACUCUGAUAAUGAAAAUGUUUUAAAUACUAUGUUGUAAAUGAUACCAAUUUUUAAUUAAUGUUUUGGGGACAAUGGUUCAUGUAAUUCCCUCUUUAGUAAAUGGGUUGUUUUAAAAAGUUAAAAUUUGUUGAAUUUUUUUUUGUUACAGGUUGGUAUCAGAGCCUUGGUUUGAGUGAAUUCGAGGAACAGUCGUGUUAAUCCAGUCUCAAAUUAAGGAAAAAUAUUUCAAAAUGGUUUUCAAAAUGAUCAAGGACGAUGUGAUGUGUAUGAUCAGUCGGAGCUGGUAAGUAGACACUAAAUUGCUACAUAGUUAUUUGAUAUUGUGAUAUGUUAGAACUGAUAGGUUUUGAGCAUUCUAACACUUCGUAAGUGUACAUGCAACCCUAAUAACCUUGGAUCUAUGUUUGUCUAAUUAUCAUGCAAAGUUGAAUUCCAAGGUUAUAUUCCUAUGUAGCAUACAUGGGGAACAAUUUCUAACUUGAAUGAAAGAUAGAAUAACUUACCUUGUUGUUGCUUAUAUUCCUUGAAACCUUGUGAGCCUAGCACCCCAAGUGUGAUGCCUCAAAUGCUUCACACAACACCAAAUGCUCUUGGGAAGACUUUUUGAGAGAAUACACAUUUUUUGAAAUCGGCCUAGCCCUCUUGUGUCAUGACUCUUCAUUUCCGUGACCCAUGGGUUUGUAACUCCCAUGGAGCAUCCUAUGGGUGGAACCCAACAUGAUUAUCCAUGGAGCCUCUUAGCCCAUUAUACAAGAUAUGAAUGAUUUACAUAAUCAAACCAUAUAUUUAAUUAGUUAUCUUUUGAUCACUUAAUUAAUUCAAAAUUAAUUCUUUGAUCAAACUAAUCAAAUGAUAAUAUUAAUAUAUUAGAACUUAUAAUAUAUUAAUAGUCUCCAAGUGUUAUUUCUCUCAUUUAGUUUAUCCAAUUGCAUGGUGCCAAGCAACCCAAAUGGACCAUGCCGGGUCGGGUCAAGUACUGACCAGAAAUAGUUAUGGACUUAGACACCUUAUCCAACAGUCUCCCACUUGGAUAAGUCUAAUAACUAUAACUCCAGUACUUCAGGAACCGACCGAAAAUCGUAGCUCUUUCAAGGUCUCUCGGAACUGAGAAGAUGUUGAUACGCCAUUUAAGAUAAGUGAUCAUAUAAUCCUUUGUUCUAGAUAUCAGCCGGACAAAUACAUGGAACAAUGUCUUACUUAUUGUCCAGGAGUUUGUUUCUCGAUUUCCGAUUUGUUUGGCAAAGAGCUUUAAUUGAACACAUCAACUUAGUUCUGACCGGGCCCAGUACAUAGGUCAAAACAAAAUCAUCGAGGGGCCCAAAUAUCAGCUUCUAAUCCAAGAAGGAACAGAUAAACUUCGACUCAUAUGUUUGUUCUACCACUCAUUGAAUUACACACAAAAGCACGUUUUAUAACAUCGAGUUACCAAUGUGUUUUCGUACAAUCAAUGCAUAACCAACUUGUAAGUAACAAAUCAUAUCUCUAGGUUUGAAGACUUAUAUGAUAUUACCGUCUCACGAUCACUCGAGAUAGAAUUCCAUGAAGUGAUUCCAGUGAGCGUGGGUUGAGUCCAAUGCUCAGAACUUAUGAGCACUCAUGAUUGUUGUAGCCUUGUCCAACACCUUAGACCUCUACAACCAAUCAUGACAGUCUUGAUUCAUACCUACUUCCGACAUAUGACCGACUGUGGAGGUUUGAAUAAUAUGUUAUACCAAACAAAAUUAUUCUGGAAGUCAAAACAUGCAAAAG
rnacentral:lncRNA from 1 species